AAUCGUUUCGUCUGCAUCCUGCAGUGCCUUUAUUAGUACCACGCAGAGCAAGCGAGAGUGGCAGCAUUGGUGGCUAUACCAUUCCCAAAGAUACAACUCUUAUGUUGAAUGUUUGGGCUAUCCACAGGGACCCUCAACUUUGGGAUAAUCCCUUAGAAUUUCGACCCGAGAGGUUUCUGAAUGUUGGUGUCGAGAGUAAGUUCGAUUACUCAGGUAACAAUUUUCAGUACUUACCUUUUGGUUCUGGUAGAAGAAUGUGUGCUGGGAUUCCUCUAGCUGAGAGGAUGCUGAUGUUUGUUUUGGCUUCGUUAUUGCACUCAUUUGAGUGGGAAUUGCCAGCUGGCACAAAGCUAAAUUUAUCUGAAAAAUUUGGGUUUGUCAUUAAGAAAAAAGAGCCUUUGGUUGCUAUUCCAACACCAAGACUAUCCAAUUCAGAGCUUUACCAUUAAAACAGAAUGAUUGUGAUGAUUUUGUUAGUAUCGGAAGAUUUGUAUGUUAUUUCAAGUUCAAUCGUAAUAAAAUAUUUUAAUAAAAGUCCUCCGUUGCUAAUUUUUUUUUUCAACGGCAUAAUCUGUCAUCAUGCUUGUGUUUGGAGCUACUUUGGAAUGAUUAUUUUUGAAUUACAAUUUAUAAAUAUUUAGGUUUUAAAUUUUUUAUAAGAGUCUAAAUUUAUACACGUUCAGUAAAAGAUUCCCUAAAAGCUUUACAAUUCAAAAUUCUAUUAAAAGUAUAGAUGAAACUUUUAUACCUACUAAUUUUUUGGUCUAUUCUACAAGUUUAAAGAGGAGAUAUUUCUAGAGCUAGCAAAAAGAGCUACCUGAUUGUUUUCGCGUUAUGUCAAUUUUUUUAUUGUGUUAAAUUUAAUUUGACCCACAUAUGACCCAUUUAAUAAUCGUGUCAAAAUAUUGAAACUUGAACUUGAUACGGAAAAUAAAUGGAUGACCACACACACCCAUUUAAGAAUUAGGUAACUAUGUCACUUAAUACGACAUAACCCAAUAACUCGUUUAAUACAUAUUUAACAUAAUUUACAUUGUACAUUGUACACCCUUUUGUCAUAAAUUACACUAUUUUAUAUUUCUAAAUAAUAUUAUAUAUUGAUAUUAUAAAAAAAUAUCAAUAAUCUCAAAAUUUGUACACCUCCUAACUUUUAAAAAGAAAUAAAAAAACUAAUUAAUUAAUGUUUAUUUUAUUCAUUAAUAUAUCAUAAUCCUACAUGUAUUUUAUUUGUUAUUUUUUUUAUUUAAAAAGAUAGGAGGGUGGAUGAAACUCAAAUAAAUUUUUAGCCUAUCCUGAUCUUUCAAGUUUCUUAUUUAGGAGGCCAGUUAAAAAAAAUUACUUAGAAAGCUACUCCAUCAAUUUAACAAAUUUUAUUUAUUUAAUUAAUGGAGGUGUAGAAAAUAAAAGUAUCUGCAAGCACAUUGCAAUAGUGAAAGCAAUGUACCGGUGUUGCAACAUAACUGAAUCUUGAUAACCUAUCACAUAUUUUAAGUUUUAAUAUUGGUAGUUCACGGAUCGGUUUCUACUUCCACGAACAAUUAUUGAAGGAAAUGAGUUUUUUUUUUAAUGAAUAUUUAUAGACCCCGAUUAAAUAUUCGAAUAUAUAAUAAAAGAGAAACUGACAUAGAAAUGAGAAAGAUAUUUGGAGGAGGCCAAAAAAAAAAAAAAAAAUGCAACAGAGAAUUAGAUCAGCAACACAAGUAACUAAUUAAUUCAUCUAUACAUCAUAAUCCUAUUUGUAUCUUCUUCCUUCUACUAAUUUACAUAUAAAUUUGGUUAGAUAAAACAUAUUUUAAUACUCGGUCACAAGCGGUGGAUAUAGAAAAUUAAUUUAGAGGGGGUAAUACCAUAACGAAAAAUAAUGAUUCAUAACUAAAAUCAACCCCAACAUCAAAACUUAUUUACAAGAUUACGCCCAGUCAAAGGUAAUUUUUCCUAAAAACUAAUACGAAAUUAAAUAAAUUUAACUUUUAGUGGGUUCAAGUGCCCACGCAUUCUGAACGUAGAUCCACCCCUGGCCCCGACUGAAGCAUUUUUUACAAUAUGUACUCAGUUUAUCAACAGGAACAACCUUCCACUUUAAAUUAAAAUUUUCACUUAAAAAUGAUUAAUGUUAAUGAGGUUAGCAACAAAAAUGAGUUUAAUUAGAGAAUAUUAUAAGAGAAAUUAUAUUUUUUGACUUUUAAUAAAUUAAAAUAUUAUUAGUUGGUGGUGGUUUCACGUCAGAUUAAGACGUGACACUUUACUUAUGAGGUCGAGACAAUCGACUUAAACUAUUUCAAUGCAUUUGAAAUUUGCACUAAUGGCUAUCAUUCUUUGUCCAAAUUAAUACGAUAAUUAAUAACAUACAAUUGAAAUAAUUAAUACUAGCACUUGGCAAUAAAUAAAGCUCUUGUGCUUGAAUCGUCACACAUGAUCACUUCAUUCCUUUAUUUACUUUGCUACCACAAAUUUUGAGGCAUUAUAACUAAAUAAUAAUUGAAUAGGGCUUUGUGUUACUUGUUGUGCGCGCGGAAUGCGGAAUCAAGCACACCAAAUUAUUACAGAAAAAUAAAGGACACAAUUAUUUGACGUGGUUCGGUAAUUAAACUUACAUCCACGGAGGCAAGAAAGAAUAAUUGUUUAUUUAACAAUUAAUAGAGUACAAAUAUUUGAGUAACGAAUCUCACUUCUCAGAAACCUAAAUAUACCCAAUACUCUCACACUCUGCAGGAAAGAUAAAUUAUCCAAACACACUUCUCUCACUUCUCUAAAAAACUUAAAAAUUUAAAAACUUAACAAUUUUGGAAUGCUUUAGAAUAGAAGAAGUGCCAUCUUAUAGGAAAAAUAAUGAUACUAUUGCACCAACCUCUUUACUAUUCCACCUAACAUAAGCAAAUUGUCAAUAGUGUCCAUUUAACUUUUUAUUUUUUUUCUUCAAUUGUUUAGUAGCCCUUUAAAAAUCUGCGUGGUUUCUUGAAAUUUAGAUGCCACAUGCAUGACUUUUCAACACUAAUUACUACGAUAAUUAAUAUUAGCACUUGGCAAUAAAUAAAGCUCUUGUGCUUGAAUCGUCACACACGAUCACUUCAUUCCUUUAUUUGCUUUGCUACCACAGAUUUUGAGGCAUUAAAACUAAAUAAUAAUUGAAUAUGGCUUUGUGCGUCGAUGACGCCAGCAACAAGGGGACCACAAUUAUCACUUUUUAAGUUGCUUUUAAAAUUGAUUUUAAUAGUGAUUUGAUUAUUGUAGUGUUUUUAUUUUUAUAUUAAAAUUAAGUCGAUUUGUUAUAAUAAACUUAGUUGAGUUUAAUGGUAUUACUACAUAAAUUGAAUAGUCAUCAAAUAUUUUAAUGUUUUUAUGGCAAGUGUUGACGUGGCAUUUAUUUGUUGUAUGAUGGAUUUUAAAAUUUAUAAAAUUAUUUGUUAUUAAAUUACCCCCAGAUGCUGCAUCACCUGAAACUUAAUAAAGGGCAUGUAGCAUUGCCAUUACUCAACAUUCACUCUUAUGACUUUAUGACAUUAGAAUUAAAAUCUUUCGUACAUUUAAUUUGUUUGCUUCCAGAUUAAUCUUUAAAAAUAUUUUUUUCACAUUAUCAUGAAUGGACAAAACUCCAACGAAAAUAACUACGCAAGAGCAAUCUAUGCUAGUAUUAUAUGCCACGAUAUCUAUAACUUUGUCAGGUCUCAGGAUCGAUCAUUCUAAUUUUUACGCAGAACUUUUAAUCAAUGGACAAACACCUCACCGAGCUUGUCGGCAGCAUUACUACGAUGUAAAAUUGUACCGGAAUAUCUUGAAGUAUUAGUAGAAUAAUGAAGACUAUUUGGAGCAAUAAAAACAAAUAACGCAGAUAAAAAAAAUGGCUAAAAUUAUGUAAGUGAGCCCCAAAGUUUUUGCUAUUUCCAGGAAAUCCCAAAUUUGAAUGGACUAGAGGGAGGCACGUAAGAAAUACAUUUUCUUCCUAGACAAUGACAGCUAUGACAUCAAGCCACGUAUUGAAAUUAAGGUGUAAUUAUUCAGCCAAUGAGCCUUACACACCAAGAUGUAUAAAAGUCAAGAAAAUGAAAUUUUAUCCCAAUUAAAACACUUUCUGGCUGCAAUUGGCUGUUUCCAUUUGAAGUUAAAAAACAACAACGUUUCUUUCGUUUUGUGGGCGAUUCGAUUGAGCACGCGCCACGAGCUAGCUGGCUUCCAGUGCUUGCGUGUGACAAUAGAAGGCUAGUGAUUUCACUUUCGCUUUUUUUUUUUUUUCUUUUUUUUGGGGAAUCAAGAUAAAAGCCAAGAAAAUGAAAAUUGGGCUGUUUCCAUUUGAAGUUAAAAACAGUGUUUCUUUCGGGGCGUCAAUUUGAUAUUUGAAUGGACAGGCAAGUAAGAAAUACAAUUCCUUCAUAGACAAUGACAACGAGGACAUCAAGGCACAUCAUUAUAGUUUGUAGCCCAUCUACAUUUAAACGAUUAAUAAACAAGCUUAGGUGUGCCACUGCUAUUAUUAAUUAUCCCCUGAUCAUUAUAGUUUCUGAAACAGUAAAACAAAACGAAAUUGAAUACAUCAACGAGAUCGCAAUUAUCACUUGUUUAGUUGCGGUAUUUAACUUAAUUUUAAUCUAAUAUAUUUGUUAGUUAAACUUUUAAUAAUCAAAUAAUUUUGACUUAAAAAUAAAAUUAUAGAAAUUAUUAAUUAUUAAAAAUUCACACAUAGCUAUUGUUUUCUCUAUAUAUUGCAGUGUGUACGAUAUUGAGGGUUGAAGCCCAAAGCAUGCCCUAAAAUCCAGAUAAUAAUUAGAUCCGGGCCAAAUAUUCAUCAUUGUGUCGGCUGAUCAGUCGGUGGACAUCUCUAUUGAAAAAAUCUCUGACAUUUCUCUCGACAAACUUAUUACUAAAAAAAAAUCAGUGGUUUUGCCGUCUGAAUAAUGUAGAAAAAUUUGUCUGUGCAUUAAUCUAGAUGUUUGAGGUGAUUUAUACAUCUGUGAUAAAGAUUUAUAGGUUGACUUAUACGUCUGUGGUAUAGAUUUUAUGUAUUUCAUUACAAAAUGCUGGCCGUUAGAACCCUUUCUACAUCUAUUUAUAAGAUUAACGGGUGCCAGUUAUGCCAUUACAAAUUAUCCCCUCAUCAGAUAUUUCGUUAAAAUUCAUUCUGAAACACUAAAACUAAAUAAUCGAACAUGGCUUUGCGGGUCGAUGAUGCCAGAAGCAAUUCGACUGCAAUUAUCACUUGUUUAGUUUCUGUGCUUGCCGUGGUUUACUUGGCAUGGAAUGUGAAAAAAUCAAGGAAAGCAAAUGCUAAACUGCCACCAGGACCUCCCGGCUUGCCUGUAGUCGGAUACCUCCCAUUUCUCGGAACUACUGACUUGCACAAGAAAUUCACGGAAUUAUCCGGAGUUUACGGUCCGAUCUUCAAGCUCUGGCUCGGAAAUAAAUUAUGUGUAGUGGUGAGCUCACCUUCCCUAAUUAGACAAGUGGUUCGUGAUCAAGAUACAACAUUCGCGAACCGUGACCCACCGAAGGCUGCACUAGUGGUCUCCUAUGGUGGCAAUGAUAUUGCAUGGUCCAAUUACGGUCCCGAAUGGAGAAAGUUGCGCAAAUUUUUUGUGGGCAAGAUGAUGAGUAACGCAAGCCUUGAUGCUUGUUAUGCUCUAAGAAAACAAGAGGUUAAAAAUACUAUCAGGGAUUUGUAUAACAACGACAACAAAAUUGGCAAGCCCAUUGACAUUGGUGAAUUGUCGUUUUCAACAUUGGUAUGUGCUAUACAGAACAUGCUGUGGGGUGAAGCGCUUGAAAUAAGAGAGAAAGGGACCACUAAUCUUGGGGCUGGGCUAAAAUUUAAGCUGGCAGAACUCAUGGUGCUUGCGGGAACACCGAAUAUUUCGGAUGUCUUUCCAAUGCUUUCAUGGCUUGACAUACAAGGUAUAGAGAGGAGAGCAAAGAAGAUUUCACUCUGGCUUGAAAAUGUUAUAAAUUCUACUGUUGAACAGCAUAGAAACAAGGAGUCAACUGUUGAAGGUGAAGAAAGAGCGGGGAAAAAUUUUGAAGGAUCAAGGAACAAGAACUUCUUGCAGUUACUAUUGGAGCUUCAAGAAAAUGAUGACAGUGCUUCCUCAAUUAGCAUGAACCAAUUCAAGGCCGUACUCAUGGUAUGUUAAGUAACUAGCAACGAACAGUUAUACAAGCACAGUUGUAUAUUUGCAUGAGUGAUAUUUUCAACCUUUUUUUUUAAUUAGAAUUUUAUUGUCACCUUUUGGACAGGAUAUAAUUACGGCUGGAACCGACACCACAGCUACGAUGGUGGAAUGGACAAUGGCAGAGUUGAUGCAGCAUCCACAAGUAAUGAAGAACGUUCAGGAAGAAUUAGCUCAAGUUGUGGGCAUGGACAGUUGUGUUGAAGAAUUUCACCUGUCUAGAUUAAAGUAUUUAGAUGCUGUGGUGAAGGAAACAUUUCGUCUGCAUCCUGCAGUGCCUUUAUUAGUACCACGCAGAGCAAGCGAGAGUGGCAGCAUUGGUGGCUAUACCAUUCCCAAAGAUACAACUCUUAUGUUGAAUGUUUGGGCUAUCCACAGGGACCCUCACCUUUGGGAUAAUCCCUUAGAAUUUCGACCCGAGAGGUUUCUGAAUGUUGGUGUCGAGAGUAAGUUCGAUUACUCAGGUAACAAUUUUCAGUACUUGCCAUUUGGUUCUGGUAGAAGAAUGUGUGCUGGGAUUCCUCUAGCUGAGAGGAUGCUGAUGUUUGUUUUGGCUUCGUUAUUGCACUCAUUUGAGUGGGAAUUGCCAGCUGGCACAAAGCUAAACUUAUCUGAAAAAUUUGGGAUUGUCAUUAAGAAAAAAGAGCCUUUGGUUGCUAUUCCAACACCAAGACUAUCCAAUUCAGAGCUCUACCAUUAAGACAAAAUGGUUGUGAUGAUUUUGUUAAUUUUCCGAAGAUUUGUAUGUUAUUUAGUUCAAUCGUAAUAAAAUAUUUCAAAUAAGAGUCCUCCGUUGCUUUUUUUUUUUUUUUUUUUUCAACGGCAUAAUCUGUCGUCAUGCUUGUAUUUGGAGCUACUUUGGAAUAAUUAUGUUUGAAUUACAAUUUAUAAAUAUUUACGUUUUAAAUUUUUUAUAAGAGUCUAAAUUUAUACACGUUUAAUAUCCCGCUUCAUAGAUAUUUAACACAAUUUAUAUCAUACAUUGUAUACCCAUUUGUCAUAAAUUAUACUAUUUUGUAUCUCUAAAUAAUAUUACGUAUUGAUAUUAUAAUAUAUAUAUAUAUGUUUAUCAAAAGACUAUACCAUUCAAUAUAUAUUGAAAAGAGAACAAAGAAGAUUUUCUUAUGGUUUAAAAAUAUUAUGAAUUCUGCUGUUGAACAGUAUGGAAACAAGGUCUCUGUUGUUAAAGGUGAAGAAGCAACAGGGAACAAUAUUGAAGGAAGAAAUUUCACAUGUUUAGUUGCUGAAUUUGCCGCUGUAUUCUAUCGGUAGUAGAGUUUUUAUUUUUCUCUAUUAAUUUAAGUCAAUUUUCUAUAACAAAUUCGGUUGAGUUUAAUUGUGUUAUAAUAUAAAUUGAAUGAUAAUAGAAUUUUCAACAAAUAUUUCAAUAUUUCUAUCUCGAUUGUUGAAGUGCCAUUUAUUUGUUAUGCGAUCGAUUUUAAAAUUUAUAAAAUUAUUUGUUACUAAAUUGCAUCAUAUGCUAAAAUCACCUGAAACCUAAUUCCAUAACUAACCCUUUAUUUUUAGUUCUCAAGAAAUCUUGUAAGAACAAAAAUCUUUUAUAACAAAACUUUUACAACACAUUAAUUUGUAACUCAUUCCUGUGCGCGAAUCACUCUCAAUUUCCUUCAAUUGCUGUUUAACAAUCAUCUACUUAUCAAAAUUCAAGCAUAAUCUUUUUUUUUUAAUUUCUUCAUCAUUCUUUAAAAAAAAAAUCAGGAUAUGCUGUUAAAUUUUGAAAUAAAUAAAUUAACCAAAGUUGGUUGAUGUGAGUGGUUCAAUGAUGAGCAUAAUUUAUAUACAUAUUUUACCUUUAAUUAUAUAAUUAUUAGUUAUUUUUAUUAGUUAUUUUUAAUUAAUUGAAUUAUUUUAUUGCAUAGAGAAUUAAUUGGAGAUUGGGAAACAAAAAGUGCAUAAAGAAUAACAAGUUUGGGAAAGCAUCAAUCAAAGCCGUGACGCAAUUAAGAGUUUAUAGCAUAUGAAGCCAAGAGUAAUUUGCACUCAAAAAGAAUUUCAAUUAUUCAAGUGACCUGGACCUGCAUGGCAUUGUAAUGCAUGGAAAGCAACUUAAAGGGGCCCACACUUGGCUUUUACAAUUGGAAAAAGGAAUCCUAGUGCAAGCUUAAUUGAUGAGCACGUGAGUGAGAGCAAAGAAAAUUAAAAGGCCAAGCCUUUUGGCUUAAGGAAAUAACAAGGUCGGUGGGGCCCAUUUUAAAGAGUAAUAUAAAAGCAAGCUUUUGGCUUUUGGAGAGAGGAGCCGCGAGAGGAGGAAAACGCAAGACAAAGAGAAGAAAAUCUGCAGCAGUUCGGCUUCUAUGGUUGGUUUUAUCUCUUUUGUUACUCUUAAUUCAAAUAUGUCUAGUUAAUUUUCUUAUAUUAAAGUUAAGGAUGAAACCCUAUUCAAUGAAAUAAUUAUCUUUUUAUUUAUUUAAUUCCCAUAUAUGUUCUUUAAUGAUUAUGAUUUUUAUUUCACAUGAUUAAUUGGAUGUUAUUAAAAUUUUUUCAUCAAUUCUGUCAUGCAUUAUUGAUUGUUAGGAUUAAUAUUCAAUUAAAUCUAUACUUAGAUUUAUAACGUUUAUACAUGAUUAUCUUUGAUUCUAUGUCUUUCAUUAAAUUGUUUACAUGGAGUGCUUAGGAAAACUUUGACUCUUUGUUAUUCAAUAUGUUCACAUGGGAUACUUAGAUGUCAUACUAUUAAGCGGAAAAAGAACCUAUAUUAGAUUUAAUUAUUUGGGCUUAAUUGUUAUAUCCAUGAGAUGACACAAAUUGAUUUCGAGUUGUCACUCUAAAAUUAGAGAUUAAUGAAUAUUUAGAUAAUUACUAGUUGAAUAGCGGUGGAUUCUGAAACCUUGGUAAUUUCUAUCUUAUUGAAUUCUCCUUUACUUUAAUUGUUUUCUUAGUUUAAUUAAUUUAAUUUCUUUUAAAACUCAAUUUGCUUAACUAGGUUAGAAUUAAUAUUAAUUUUAGAUUUAAAUUAGACUUUUCAAUUUAUAACAAUCCAUGUGGGAUCGACCUCGUUACCACUACUUUAUUUCUAGAUUCGUGCACUUGCGAGUAUAUUAAAAUUUUCACAACAAGUUUUUGGCGCCGUUGCCGGGGAUUGUGCCAGAAAGUCAGUUUAAUCUAGGUUGAUUUGAUUCUUCCACUAGUUAUAAUUUAUGUUGUCUUUUAUUUUAUUAUUAUUUUUAAUUAACAAAAACACACAAAAAAACUUUUAUUUUUCUUUAAAUUCAUUGUUUGGUUGUUUGAUUUCUUUUAUUUUUUAAAUUUUGUUUAUUCUCAUUAUUGUUGGUUUAUUUUAUUUUAUUUUUUUCUUUCCUUGUCUAGUUAGUUUAUGAGUGUUUGGGAAUGUGAUUCAACAAAUCGUUUGGUAAAAGAGAGUCAAAAAUUGAUAGUAGUCAAGUUAGUUCUUCUGAAGUCAUGGAUGACCCAAAUAGAUUAUUGCCAAUACUUCCACCAGUGCAAGCAGAGAAAACCCUUAGAGAAUAUUUUUCACCACUUGCAGCCAACCAACCAUCUUGUAUUGUGUUGCCACAAACUACAGCAACACACUUUGAACUUUUUGAACUUAAGCCCUCAGUCAUCCAACUUUUACCAUCUUUCCAUGGGUUAGAGAGAGAGGAUCCAUAUUUGCACAUUAAGGAAUUUCUUGACAUAUGCUCUACAUUCCGUUUUCAAAAUUUUAAUGAUGAGUUAAUCAGGCUUCGUAUGUUAUCUUUCUCAUUAAAAGACAAAGCAAAAGCUUGGUUGAAUUCGCUUUCUGCUGGGUCUAUAACUACGUGGGAUGAAUUGAAUAAUAAGUUCCUCACCAAGUUUUUCCCUAUGUCUAAAACAAAUGCCCUUAGGAGAGAGAUAAGUGAUUUCUAUUAAAGAGAGGGUGAGCAAUUUUAUGAGUGUUGGGAAAGAUUCAAUGAUUUACUCCUCAAGUGCCCCCACCAUGGUUUUGAGAAAUGGAGACUUAUACAAUGCUUUUAUAACGGUUUAACCAUGUCGAAUCGUCAUAUGGUAGAGUCUAUGAAUGGUGGGAGAUUUUUGAACCUACAUGAAGGGGCUGCAUGGGAUUUCUUUAAUUCACUUUCUGAGAAUUCUCAACAGUGAGAUUUUUCAAGCCAAAGGGAAAAAUCAUCUCAAGUUUCUAGAAAGGGGUUAUAUGAAGUUAAGGAUGAUUUUGAUGUGAAAUCCACUCUAAUUACACUUUCUAGAAAAGUAGAUGCCUUAGCUCUGAACCAAUCAAUGAAUCAUCAUCCUAGUGUAGCUAAUGAGGUUUGUGCUAUUUGUUCUAACUUGUCUCAAACAGCACAAAACUGUCCAUCAUUACCAGUCUAUCCAGAGGCUUAUUCUGAGCAGGUACAUGCCUUACAAUCAUAUGAGAAAACCUCCAAUAAUACAUAUUCACUCACAUAUAAUCCUAAUUGGAGGAAUCACCCUAAUUUUUCUUGGAAACAAAAUCAAUCUUUGUCAAACCAAGGAGGACAACAAUUUAACAUGCCCAAUCAACAAUUUGUCCCUCCUAACCAAGUAUAUCCUCCUGCCCAACAACCUAUAUCUCAAUUUGUUACACCCCAACAAAGAAAACCUUCUUUAGAGGAUACACUUCAAAGUUUCAUUCAGUCAACCUAAUAAGCUUUUCAGUCAAACACUCAAGCUAUUCUAAAGCUUGAACAUCAAUUGGGUCAAUUAGCAACUACUGUAGCGGAGAAAGAAAAAAGAAAAUUCCCCAGUCAAUCAAUUCCUAAUCCUAAAGGAGUGCAUGAAGUUGGAUCGAGUUCAAGCCAUCAGCAUGAAGAAGCAAAAUCAAUUAUGACCUUGAGAAGAGGAAAAUUGUUUGACAACAAAGUGGAGGUUCAAACAAAGAAGACAUCUGAGCCUACUUCUUCAGAUCCAAUUACAUCACAAGAAUCAUCACCAAAUGAUCUUGAAGAGAGUGACCCGCUAGCUUACAUUCCCAAGGCUCAUUUUCCUCAAAGGUUAACAAAGGUAAAGAAAGGGACUUCAACAUGUGAGAUUAUAGAAAUCUUCAAGCAGGUAAGUAUAAACAUCCAUUUACUCGAUGCUAUUAAGCAAGUUCCUUCCUAUGCCAAGUUUUUGAAAGAUUUAUGCACUAAAAAGAGAAAUUUGCAUGUCACUAAAAAGGCGUUUUUAACUGAACAAACUAGCAAUUUACUUCAAUGUAAAAUGCCACCAAAAUUUAAGGAUCCUGGUUCUCCUACUAUUUCAUGUGUUAUAGGGAACCAAUGUUUUGAUAAAGCAUUAUUGGAUUUAGGUGCUAGUGUUAAUCUCUUACCUUAUUCCAUUUACAUGCAGCUUGGACUAGGUGAGUUAAAAUCAACUCCUAUUAUUUUGCAACUUGCUGAUAGGUCAAUGAAAAUACCUCGUGGUAUUAUAGAGGAUGUGUUGAUACAGAUUGACAAAUUUUAUUAUCCUGUUGAUUUUAUUGUUAUUGAUACUCAACAUGUACAUGAUCUUAAGAAACACACUCCACUUAUUCUUGGUCGUCCUUUCUUAGCUACAGCUGAUGCUCAUAUUAGUUGCAGGACUUGAAACAUGCAAUUGUCUUUUGGUAACAUGACCAUGGAAUUAAAUAUUUUUAAUGUUCCCAAGCAGGCACAAGAAGAUGAUGAAGUCGUUGAAGUAGAUAUGAUAGAAGCAUCAAUUGAUGACUCACUUAUUUCUAACCAUUGUGACAAUCCAUUAAUACCUUGCACAACUGACUCUGAUUUCUCUAUUGAUGUUGAUAGUGAUAUUGAAGAAGUUAAUGCUUUACUUGAUUCGACUCUUAUCAUAGAUCUAAUUAAGUGGAAAGAAAAGAUAAGAUUGAGCCACUUCCUCCUGAAGAGAAAAGUGCAACAUAGGUCACAUUCUGACAUAAAAAAGGUGGUAAGAUCUAAAACGCUUAAAUUAUUAGAUUUUUAUACUACUUUAGAUAACUCUCAGGAAAGCUUAGAACAGAAGAGAUCAAAGCAAUGCGAUAUUGAGGAGUUUCAUUACCAUCAUCCUUUUAUGGAUAAAAUGCUCCAGUGCUUAAUCAAUUAUGCUUUUUGGUAUUUUCUAUAUAAUUGCUUUAAUUUUCACCAAAUUCUUAUUGAUCCUGGUUGAUUUGUUGUUUACAUUAAUUAGUUAGUUAGUCGGAUUUUUUUAUUAUUAUUUAUAUUUCUUCUAACGUUUUCUUUUGAGUUGUCAUUCUUUUAAGUUUUCCUAGCUCAGUCAGGUGUGUUCUCUCCAACUUUCUCUUUUAUUAUUUAUGUUUUUAUUUUUCAUCUUUUUGCGUGCAUAUCUUUUAUUUAUGACACAUUGAGGACAAUGUUCCGAAUAAGUUUGGGGGUGGGAAUAAUGUUGCUUUGUUUGUUAAAAAAAACUAAAAAAAAAUUUCAAAAAUUCAAAAAAAAAUUGUGUUUUUUUUGUUUUUACGUGAAAAGCCAAUGAUAAAAACUUGAUUGACAAUGAAUAUGGUUUUUAGAAAGGGUUUAAUAUUGUCUUAAUUUAUACUUGAUUCUUAUGUUAGUUCCUCUUGAUUGAGAUUCUUUAAAAUAUAAGCACUAAUAUCAAUUCUUUCAUAAUUUUGACUUGAAAUUUGAGAUUGACGCAGCCUGAGUUGAGAAUUUUAGAUAGAGUAAAUGACUGUUUGUCUUUAUUCUUAUCUCCACAAUACAAAAUAGUAUACACAGGCACCAAAGUCAGAAAUAACUACCUAUAAUCCUUAAGAGUGAAGCUAUCCUUGAGUAAUUUAGGCCUAUGUACCACAAGUAUGUAGAGGAUAAUCUACCAUGAGAAGAAUGCUACCUUAAGGGGUAGAGUGAAAGCUCCUGACUAUGGUUAAAAAAAAAAGAAGAAGAAAAAGAGAAAGAAAAAAUCAAAUCAAGUGCAUGUGCUGAAAAAAAAAUCAAAAGAAAAUGCACAUAAAAGCCUGUGAAAAAAAAAUUGGAGAUUAAGAUGAUAAGAUUAGCUUGACCUACUCUUUUCUUUUUUUGAGGCGAAGGUUGUUGAUAUUGAAGAUUUUAGGAAUGAAUUUGAUUGAAUUGAUUUCACACACACACAACAAGAAUCGAAAGAGAGAUGGGAUUGAUUAUUGAAUUAAAGUUAGAACUUUGCCAAUAUUUGAAAUUUUGUUUGAGCUAUAUAAUUUAUGCAAUCUUUGAGGGUAUUUUCAUAUUUUAUUUAAAGUUUUUUUUUCUUUUUAUUUUAUUUUAUUUAUUUUUUAUUUUUUUAAAAUGAUGUUUGUGGGUGUCAUCACUGAAGCUCUCACGAGACUAUAACUCGUCCACUAGGGGUUUAAAGGCUUGUUGCAUACGCUAAAUGCAAUCGCGAUUACCUGCGAAAAUGGUUUAGUUAGGAUUUACUUUUUGUUUUGUUAUUUUUUUUUUUUUUUUUAGUUUUAGCUUUGCUCGAGGACUAGCAAAAUCUAAGUUUGGGGGUAUUUGAUGAGCAUAAUUUAUAUACAUAUUUUACCUUUAAUUAUAUAAUUAUUAGUUAUCUUUAUUAGUUAUUUUUAAUUAAUUGAAUUAUUUUAUUGCAUAGGGAAUUAAUUGGAGAUUGGGAAACAAAAAGUGCAUAAAGAAUAACAAGUUUGGGAAAGCAUCAAUCAAAGCCAUGACACAAUUAAGAGUUUAUAGCAUAUGAAGGCAAGAGUAAUUUGCACUAAAAAAGAAUUUCAAUUAUUCAAGUGAUCUGGACGUGCAUAGUAUUGUAAUGCAUGGAAAGCAACUUAAAGGGGCCCACACUUGGCUUUUACAAUUGGAAAAAGGAAUCCUAGUGCAAGCUUAAUUGGUGAGCACGUGAGUGAGAGCAAAGAAAAUUAAAAGGCCAAGCCUUUUGGCUUAAGGAAAUAACAAGGUCGGUGGGGCCCAUUUUAAAGAGUAAUAUAAAAGCAAGCUUUUGGCUUUUGGAGAGAGAAGCCGCCAGAGGAGGAAAACGCGAGACAAAGAGAAGAAAAUAUGCCGCAGUUCGACUUCUAUGGUUGGUUUUAUCUCUUUUGUUACUCUUAAUUCAAGUAUGUCUAGCUAAUUUUCUUAUAUUGAAGUUAAGGAUGAAAUCAUAUUCAAUGAAAUAAUUAUCUUUUUAUUUAUUUAAUUCCCAUAUAUGUUCUUUAAUGAUUAUGAUUUUUAUUUCACAUGAUUAAUUGGAUGUUAUUAAAAUCUUUUCAUCAAUUCUGUCAUAUAUUAUUGAUUGUUAUGAUUAAUAUUAAAUUAAAUCUAUACUUGGAUUUAUAAAGUUUAUACAUGAUUAUCUUUGAUUCUAUGUCUUUCAUUAAAUUGUUUACAUGGAGUGCCUAGGAAAACUUUGACUCUUUGUUAUUCAAUAUGUUCACAUGGGAUACUUAGAUGUCGUACUAUUAAGCGGAAAAAGAACCUAUAUUAGAUUUAAUUAUUUGGGCUUAAUUGUUAUAUCCAUGAGAUGACAUAGAUUGAUUUCGAGUUGUCACUCUAAAAUUGGGGAUUAAUGAAUAUUUAGAUAAUUACUAGUUGAAUAGUGGUGGAUUCUGAAACCUUGGUAAUUUCUAUCUUAUUGAAUUCUCCUUUACUUUAAUUGUUUUCUUAGUUUAAUUAGUUUAAUUUCUCUUAAAACUCAAUUCGCUCAACUAGGUUAGAAUUAAUAUUAAUUUUAGAUUUAAAUUAGACUUUUCAAUUUAUAACAAUCCCUGUGGGAUCGACCUCGUUACCACUACUCUAUUUCUAGAUUCGUGCGCUUGCGAGUAUAUUAAAAUUUUCACAACAUUCGGCACUCUCACUCCUUAAGAGAGGUCAGGGGUUCAAGCCUCGCUCUCGUAUGGAGUCACCACUUUGACCAGCACUUUACCCCUUACAGACCGACCCGGUGCGAGCAUGAAUUAGUCUGGGUUGUGGUACGGGCUUAAAGGUGCCUCCCACAAUUGAGACCCACUCAGGACCACCUCGUGGUUCGGACAAAAAAAAAAUUGAAAUAAAUUAUCUCAAAAUAAUUACUAACCAGAAAAAACAAAGGGGUUUAACUAGGUUAUGCAUACCUUUGAAAAUUAUAUGUUGAUCGAUAAGCAUGAUGAUCACGAUUGAGGAGUUUAAUUAAAAUUUAUAAGAUUUUAAAAUUAAUCAGGGUUAAAUUCUAAAUUUUAGAAAGAGAGGUUUUGUGAGAAUGCUGAAAGGGUGUUAAUAGUUCCACUCUUUUUUAAAAAAACCAUAGUCAUCAUUUUUCCCGAUUUCUUCUUCCCAUCUCCAUCUUAUUUAGAAAUUUCCCAGAGCCUUUGUUUCCCACCAUUCAUUUUUCUUCUUUCUAAUUUAAGAUUAUAGUAUUAUAAAAAUAAUUACUCACAUUUUAUCAAACACCUCCAUUAUACCAAGGCCUUGUUUUAGUAGUAGGCUUUUAUUAUCUCAAUAAAAUUGAAAAAACAAAGCUCAAUAAUAUUGGAAAAAAAACCUACCCAUAUUUGUAACUUUAAUUUAUUAUUCUCCAUAGACCUACUUUUUAGCUUUGAAUUUUGUUGGAGCCAUAUAUAAACAGAAUAUGUUGAAAUCAGCACAAAAAAAAAACUAAUUAUAUAAUUUUUGUUCCCAAGGACACGACUGUGUGAUUUUUAAGAAGUUUUGUUUGGCUGGCCACUUAGGUUUAAAUCUUGGUGGAGAUUAGGGGUUAAGAAAUAAAUUUGGACUUUGCACACCCCUUUAACUUUUAAAAAGAAUGAAAAAAACUAAUUAAUUAAUCUUUAUUUUAUUUAUUAAAUGUCAUAAUCAUAUGCAUAUUUUAUUUGUUAUCUUUCUAUUUAAAAGAUAGGAGGGCAAAUAAAACUGAAAUAAAUGUUUAUCCCUAUCUCCAUCUUUCAAGUUCCAUAGUUAGGUGACCAGCUAAAGAAAAUUAAUUGAAAGUUACUCCAUCAAAUUAAAAAAAAUUAUUUAUUUAAUUUGUGGAGAUGUAGAAAAUCAAACCCCAUACCUUUUCGCAUGCAAAAGUGUCAACCUGGUCUAGCUAUGUUGCAACAGUAAACAUAUUUUAAUACAUGACUAUCAUCUUUUAUCCUAAAUACUACUAUAACUAUGGGUUCAGUUAUGCUGUAACUGUGGUAUGGUACCACAGUUGUUUUCAACCAUUAAAUUCAACUUAUAUAACUAUGCAACUGUAGAUCUAACGGCUGAAAGCAACUAUGGUACCAUACCACAGUUGCAACAUAGUUUUGCCCCUAUAACUCAUAACAUUCAAUUGAAAUAAUAAAUGUUAACACUUGGCUAUAAAUAAAGGUUUUGUACUUGAAUCUUCAUGCAUGACCUUCAUUCCUUUAUUGACUUUGCUAACACAGAUUUUGAGGCAUUAAAACUAAAUAAUAAUUGACUUUGUGGGCCGAGGAUGCCAGCAACAAGGAGACCACAAUUAUCACUAGUUAAGUUACUCUAAUUGCCGUUGUCUUAUAUUCAUAAAAUAUUAGUAAUAAGAUUAUUGUAGAAUUUUUUUAUAUUAAAAUUAAGUCAAUUUGUUAUAACAAAUUUAGUUGAGUUUAAUCGUGUUACUACAUACAUUGAAUAAUAAUAGAAUUCUCGACAAAUAUUUCAAUAUUUUUAUCCCAAGCGUUGGAGUGGCAUUUAUUUGUUAGACAAUCGAUUUUAGAACUUAUAAAAUUAUUCGUUACUGAAUUGCACCAUAUGCUGCAUGACCUGAAACUUAAUAAACGGAACGUAGCGUUGGCAACAUUCACUGUCAUGACUUUGUGACAUUAGAAUUAAAUUUUUUUGCACAUUUAAUUUGUUUACUUCCAAAUUAAUAUUUAACAAAAUAUUUUUUCACAUUAUCAAUGGACAAAACUCCAACGAAAAUAACUAUACAAUAUAUGCUAGUAUUGUAUGCCAUAUCAUCUGUAAUUUUGUCAGGAUCGAUCAUUUUAAUUUUUAAGCAAAACUUUUUAUCAAUGGACAAACACCUCACACAGCUUGUCAGAGGCAUUAUUAUGAUGGAAAACUGAUAAACAGUGAACUCGAAACUCAAUUACUACAAGUCGUUUAGAGGAUUCAGUCUUGGAUGACUUGUCACUUGUGGAAUUCUUGAAGCCAGAACCGACAUAAUCUCAGUCGUCAUUCUGUCUUAAGUAAUACACAUGGUUUGCAUGUGUGUUGAAGCUGACUCUUUGCUUGGAUCAAGAAACGACGUCUUUGAGUGCCGUUUCUUAAACACACUUUAAAUCAGCUUGUGUCAAGCACGUGAGGUAGAGCUUUUUGAAUAGAUUUGGCGGGAAUGGUAGUUAGUGUAACAACCCAGAAAUAGAGGUUAAAAGGUGAAGGCUUUGUCAUCAUCUACACAUGAUUUGGGAAACAUUGAGAGUAGAGAAAAAGAUAGAGAGAGAAAGGGGUUAACAAGUUCUUGUUCUCUGUAAAUCGAUUUAUAUUCUUGUAAAGUUUGUGAUCUCAAUUAGUGAAAGACUGUUGCUUUGUUUCCAGUGGAUGUAGGCACCACUUCUUGGUGCUGAACCACUUAUACUUGGUGUCAUAUUGUUUCUUUAAUGCUUUGAUUCUUGCGUGUGAUUGUUGCUGGAUAAUCUGUGCUGUUAAUUCUCAAACCAUUGAUACAGAAUUAAUGUCUUGGGGAGAAUUUGGUUAGUCUUAUCAAAGCCGAAUUCACAACAAAUUGGUAUCAGAGCCCUCUUUUCUGUAUCAAGGUUCAAGAAAUGACUAACAAGGUGGAUCUUGAGAAGUUCAAUGGUCAGAAUGAUUUCAAUAUGUGGAGGAUCAAGAUGGAAGCAUUGUUAAUCACACAAGGUCUGGGAGAUGCCAUUGAUCCAGUCAUUAAGAGUGAAAAUGCAGAAGCCUAUUCUUCAAGAACUCCAGAACAGAUGGCUAAGAUUGAAAAAAAGGCAAGAAGCACCAUCAUCCUCAGUCUUGGUGACUUAGUGAUAAGGGAAGUUGCCAAGAAAAAGACUGUUGCUAGGCUCUGGGCAAAACUGGAACAAUUGUAUAUGACAAAGUCCUUAGCAAACAGGCUAUACAUCAAGAAAAAGAUGUUCUCACUGAGGAUGAUUGAAGGAGCAUCACUUGAUGAACACAUAGAUGAGUUUAAUAAAGUUUGUGAUGAACUGGAAACAAUUGAUGAAGGACUGAGUGAUGAGAGCAAGGCUUUGCUGUUAAUCAGUUCUUCACCAAAAUCAUAUGAACAUUUUGUGGAUGCCUUGUUAUAUGGAAGGCAAUCACUCUCCUUGGAAGAGGUUAAAUCUACUCUUGGUACCAAGAAGUUAAAAGAAAAACAAGAUAACUCAGAGAGUGAAUCAAGUGAAGGGCUGAUGGCAAGGGGCAGAUCUGAAAAAAAGGAGUACAAAGGAAAAAAACAAGGGAGAUCAAAGUCAAAGCAGAAACAUUUGAAGUGUUUUCACUGCCACAAAGAAGGGCAUUUCAAGAGGGAUUGCCCUGAGAGAAAAACAAAGCAAAAGGAAUCAAAAGACAAAUCUGGAAAUACAGCAAUAGCCACAGAAGAAACCAGUUUUGAGAUAGCUGAAGUCCUCAUUGCCACAAAAGAAAAAAACUCAAGGUCAGUGGGUACUAGACUCUGGAUGUACUUUUCAUAUGAGUCCAAAUAGAAAUUACUUUACUACAUAUCAGUCCUGUGAUGGGGGUAUGGUGCUGAUGGGAAAUAAUUCAGUUUGUAAAGCAGUUGGGAUUGGGACUGUAAGCCUUAAGAUGUAUGAUGGCAUGGUUAGAGAACUAACUCAGUUUAGGCAUGUUCCUGAGCUUAAAAGGAACCUAAUAUCUAUUGGCAUGCUUGAUCAAACUGGAUGUGUCAAUAAGGCUGAAAAUGGGUCAUUGAAAGUUAUCAGAGGCUCAAUAGUCAUAAUGAAAAGUUCCAAGCAAAAUGGUUUGUAUGUGUUGAAUGGACAUACAACUGUUGGAGAGGCAAGUGUCACUGAGAAGAGUGAAGACAAAGCAAGACUAUGGCACUUGAGGUUGGGGCAUAUGAGUGAAAGGGGAUUGAAGGAGCUUCAAAAGAAUGGGGUGUUUGGAAGUGACAAGCUAAGUUCUUUGGGGUUCUGUGAAGACUGUAUCCUAGGGAAGGCUUCCAAUCUCAAGUUUGAAUCUGCAGUUCAUUCUACCAAAGAGAAGCUUGCAUAUAUACACUCUGAUAUGUGGGGGCCUGCACAGGUAAAUUCUCUUGGUGGCUUUAAGUAUUUCUUAUCCUUAAUAGAUGACUAUUCAAGGAUGGUUUGGGUGUAUGUACUCAAAACCAAAGAUGAAGCUUUGGAAAAGUUUUAGAGGUGGAAAAUUCUGGUAGAAACACAGACAAGUUUGAAAGUAAAAGCUCUAAGAACAGAUAAUGAAUUGGAAUUCUGCAACAAAGAGUUUGGAGACUUUUGUAAAAGACAUGAGAUUAUGAGGCACAAAACAGUCAUACACACACCUCAGCAAAAUGGUUUUGCUGAGAGAAUGAACAGAACCUUAAUGGACAAGGUGAGGUGUAUACUGCUAUACUCAAAGCUGCCUAAGUCACUCUGGGCAGAGGCCUUAAACACAGCAUGUUACUUGGUAAAUAUAAGUCCAUCUACAGCAAUAGAAUGCAAAACACCUAUCGAGCUAUGGUCUGGAAGGGUUGCAGAUUACUUUAAACUGAGAAUCUUUGGAUGUGUUGCUUAUGCAUAUGUCAAACAAGGCAAAUUGGAGCCAAGAGCUUUAAGGUGUAGAUUUCUAGGAUACCCUGAUGGAGUUAAAGGCUAUAGGCUAUGGUGCAUUGAUUUGAAGCCACCAAAAUGCAUUAUCAGCAGGGAUGUAACUUUCAAUGAGUCAGAAAUCUUGAACAAAUCCAAAACCACUUAAUCCAAAGAUCAUAUAUCAGAAACAAGACCUGGGAGUGUUCAGUUUGAGGUGGAGUCCUAUGAACAAGAUAGGACUGAAUCAGAAACUGAAGGAGAUUCAGGAAGGGUUACUGAUGGAUUUGAUGUUGUUCAGGAGUCAGAGCCAGCUGAGAAUGAAGAUAAUUCUUAUCAGUUGGUCAGGGAUAGAAAGAAGAGAGCUGUAAGACCACCUAAGAGGUAUACAAUAGCAGAUUUCAUAGCUUAUACAUUAACAGUUGCACAAGAGGUAAAUGAGGAAGAGCUAAGAACCUAUAAAGAAGCUAUAAACAGCAUGGAUAAGAUGAAAUGGAAGGAGGCUAUGGAUGAGGAAAUUGAAUCACUAAUGAAAAAUGGAACUUGGAAGCUGAUAGUUAGACUAGAAAAAAGGAAGACUGUUAGCUGCAAAUGGAUCUUCAAAGUUAAGGAAGGUAUAUCUGAUGCUGAACCUAGUAGGUUUAAAGCUAGGCUGGUAGCAAGAGGCUUCACACAAAGAGAGGGGAUUGAUUUCCAUGAAAUCUUCUCUCUAGUUGUGAAACAUGCCUCCAUCAGAGUCAUCUUAGCUUUAGUUGCCAUUCAAGACAUGUACCUGGAGCAUAUGGAUGUUAAAACAGCCUUCCUGCAUGGUGAAUUACAAGAAGAAAUUGUAAUGGAACAGCCUGGGGGGUAUGUGGUGUCUAGUAAGGAAAAUCAUGUGUGCUUACUAAAGAAAUAUUUAUAUGGAUUAAAGCAGUCUCCUAGGCAAUGGUACUUGAAGUUUGAUAGUUUUAUGACAAAACAUGCCUACAAGAAAUGCAAUUAUGAUUGUUGCGUGUACUUUAGGGACAUUGGUGAUGGAAAGAUGAUUUAUCUUAUGCUGUAUAUGGAUGACAUGCUUAUAGCAUGUCACAGCAUAGAUGAAAUCAGUCAUUUAAAGAAUCUCUUGAGCAGUGAAUUCGAUAUGAAAGAUCUUGGAGCUGUAAGGAAGAUCUUAGGUAUGGAAAUUAUCAGAGACAGGAGAAGGAAGCUUAUGUUUUUAACCCAACAGAGCUAUGUUAAGAAGGUGUUGCUUAGAUUUGGGAUGCAUGAAUCCAAGUCUGUUCAAACACCUUUGGCAAAUCACUUCAAGCUGUCUGCUGCACAUUGUCCACAAACUGAUGCAGAGCAAGGAAAAAUGGCAAGGAUACCUUACUCCAGUGCAGUUGGGAGCCUCAUGUAUGCCAUGGUUCUCACUAGACAUGAUAUCUCACAUGCUGUGAGUAUAGUGAGUAGAUUCAUGGCAAAUCCAGGUUAUGAGCAUUGGAGGGCAGUCCAGUGGAUAAUGAGGUACCUGAAAGGCACUAUGGAGUUUGGUCUGCUAUAUGGAGGGUUAAAACAGGAAGGGCACAAGCUGGUGGGGUAUGUUGACUCAGACUUCGCUGGAGAUCUUGAUAAAAGGAGGUCUCAGACAUGUUUUAUAUUCACUUUGGGAGGCUGCACUGUGAACUGGAAAGCUACUCUGCAAAGUGUGGUAGCUUUGUCCACAACUGAAGCCGAAUAUACAGCAGCUGCAGAAGCUUUUAAGGAAGUCAUCUGGUUAAAAGGAAUGGUCUCAGAGUUAGGAGCAAAACAAGAAACAGUUGAAGUAUACUGUGAUAGCCAGAGUGCAAUACAUUUGAGUAAAAACCAGACCCAUCAUGAAGGAACAAAACAUAUUGAUGUAAAGCUUCAUUUUGUAAGACUUGAAGUUUCAAAGGGAACUGUGAAGAUGCUCGAGGUUCACACUGAUCAAAAUCCAACCGAUAUGUUGACUAAAGCUGUGCCUUCUGCCAAGCUCAACUUCUGUUUGAGCUUAGCAGGAAUUUGCAGUUUCUGAUCAGCUGCAAAAGAAAGGGAAUAAAGUAUACAGGAGUAGCUAGAGUUCAGAGUUCACACUGAUUAAAAGGUGCAGGCUUUGUCAUCGUCUACACAUGAUUUGGGAAACACAGAGAGUAGAGAAAAAGAUAGAGAGAGAAAGGGGUUAACAAGUUCUUGUUCUCUGUAAAUCGAUUUCUAUUCUUGUAAAGUUUGUGAUCUCAAUUAGUGAAAGAUUGUUGCUUUGUUUCCAGUGGAUGUAGGCACCACUUCUUGGUGCUGAACCACUUAUGCUUGGUGUCAUAUUGUUUCUUUAAUGCUUUGAUUCUUGCGUGUGAUUGUUGCUGGAUAAUCUGUGCUGUUAAUUCUCAAACCAUUGAUACAGAAUUAAUGUCUUGGGGAGAAUUUGGUUAGUCUUAUCAAAGCCGAAUUCACAACAAAAACUGUAAUGGUAUAUCUUGAAUUAUUGGUAGAAUAGUUCUUUGGAGCAAUAAAAACAGAUAAGACAGAUGAGAAAAUUGUCAAUACCCCACCGCAAAAGCAAAAGAAAACAAGGAAAGGAGACAAAAGAGGAAGAAGAAAAAGAAAAAAGAACGAAGAAAAAAAUGGUGCCGUGCGGUAUAGGCAAGAAGAAAAAAUAAUAAAAAAUAAUAAAAUAAUAGUGCACAACAAUCAUUUGAUUGCUAUAAAUAAAAGGCGUUUCCCUCAUUUUAUUCAUCGAAUUCUUCAGUUCCUUUCAAGCGAUUUAAGAGUCUAGUGAUUUGAGAGUUUGGGUGUAGUAUGAUUUUGGGUAGUGAGCUAAAAUACUACAAUACUUGUAACUCAUUUUUAUUAGUAAAAUAUUUUCCUUCUGACUUCGCCCGUGGACGUAUGCUAAAAGCCGAAUCACGUAAUUUCUGGUGUCCCUAUGUGAUUAUGUGUCUCAUUAUUUCUUAAUUUCACUUUAGUUGCGUGUCUGCGACACCCCUCAAUUUAUUAACAAAAAAUGGCCAAAAUUAUAUAAGUGACCCAAAUUUUUUUGUUAUUUCCAAGAAAUCCCCAAUCUGAAUGGGCUAGACCAGAGGGAGGCAAGUUAGAAAUACAUUUCCUUCAUAGACAAUAACAGUGAUGAGUCGAUGACAUCAAGCCACGUCGGUAUCAAUAUUGAAUUAAAGGUGCAAUUAUUCAGCCAAUGAACCUUACACAUCAAGAUAAAAGUCAAGAAAAUGAAAAUUUAUCCCAAUUAAAACACUUUCUGGCUGCAUUUAGUUGUUUCCAUUAGAAGUUAAAAACAACGUUUCUUUCGUUUUGUGGGCAACUCAACUGAGUUAGCUGGCUUCUAGUGCUAGUAUGUGAAAAUAGAAGGCUAAUGAUUUAUUUAUUAUCUUUUGACAAAAUUAUUAAAGAUAUAAUAGAUUUUCUAUGAUACAAGUGAAAAAUCACAUCAACAUAGCUUUCAAUCUACAGCAGCUAGCGUUUACCAAACACUUUGUUGUAGCUUUUAAGCUAUAGCUGCCCAACCUCAAUCUCAAACGCACCCUUAAUAGGUUGAUUGAAUUUGUGAGAUAUGGAUUCCACAUAUCUCAUGACCUAGUAAUUAUACAAGUGGUUCGUGAUCAAGACACAACAUUUGCUUCCGGCCUAGUGACCCAGCAAUCGCUGCACUGGUCGCCACCUAUGGUGCCGACGAUAUUGCAUGGUCCAAUUGUGGCCUUGAAUGGAAAAAGUUGAGCAAAUUAUUUGUGGACACGAUGAUAAGUAACGCAAGCCUUGAUGCUAGUUAUGGUCAAAGAAAACAAGAGGUUAAGAAUACUAUCAGAGAUAUUCAUAACAACAAAAAGGAAAAAAAAAAGGCAUUUGCAAGCCCAUUGAUAUUGGUGAAUUGUCGAUUUCAACUUUGGCAUGUGUAAUCCAGAACCUGCGCGCUGUGGUAUGGCGCUGGCACGCUUGCAUUAACGAGGGGACAAGUCUUGGGGCUGAGCUAACAUUUAAGCUCGCAGAACUCAUGGUGCUAAUGGGAACACCAAAUAUUUUUUUGACAUAUUUUGGUGCUUUCAUGGUUUAAUUCAAGGUAUAGAAAGGAGUGUUGAGAAUGUCAAAUAAAACGGCAUUGAAUGGAAGUUGUCAAAGACACGAUCCGCACCGAACGGCAACGACACGGUUGCUAAAAAUCCUUCCAUAAUAUGCAUAUCUAAUUUUUUAAAAAGUGUAACCUCUGCAUUUAUAAAUAUACUCAAUGUAUAAUGUUUUACUUAAGAAAUGAAAAACUUGUUUGUUCAAGGAGAAUAAAGAAAAUUUUUCUAUGAUUUUUUUAUGGUUUGAACAAAGAAGGUUUUAAUGAGUAUUAUAGACCUCGAUUGAAUGUUCGAAUGUAUAAUAAAAGAGAAACUGUCACAUAAAUGACAAAGAUACUUGGAAAAAAAAAAAGGGCAGCAAUAGAGAAUUAGAUUCGACUGCACAAAUAACUAGUUAAUUCAUCAAUACAUCAUUUUCUUGCUAGAAAAUGACAAUUAUGACAGCAAGCCACGAUAGUGUCAAUAUUGAAAUUGAUUUGCAAUUAUUCAGCCAAUGUGCCUUACACGUCAAGAUAAAAGUCAAGAAAAUGAAAGUUAAUAUCAAUUAAAACACUUCCUGGGCCGCAUUUAGCUCCAGUUUUUGUGGUAGGAAAACAAAGUUUUGUUUUAAAUUCACAUGGUGUGCACUUCCUAUAUAAAUCUAGAGUUGUGUCCCACGUUGAACAAUAAAGGAAAGUCACCUAAAUAUACAUGUAGGAUAAGUUACUUUAUUUAGUAAGUUUGUAUUUUCUUCUUUCUUCUAGUUUACAUAUAAAUUUGAUUAGAUAACUUAACACAUAUUUUAAUACUUGAUCAGAAGCCCUACGUACAGGUGGAUCUAGAAACUUGAUUUCUAAGAGUAAUACUAUAAUAAAAAAAUAAUGAUUCAUAGAACCAAUAUCAAAAUUUGUUUACAAGAUUACCCCCACUCAAAGGUAAUUUUCAUAGAAAUUAAUAGGAAAUUUAAUUGUUAGUGGGGUCAAAUUGCCCCCACACUCUGAAUGUAGAUCCACGCCCGACCCUGAGUCAAGUAUAUUUUGCCACAUAUACUCUGAAUGUCGGCAGGAAAAAUCUUCCACUUUAGUUUAAAAUUUUCACUUAAAAUUUAUUUACGUUAAUAAAGUUGGUAAAGGAAAUGAGUUUAAUUAAAGAAUAUUAUAGGAGAAAUUCUAUUGUUUGGCUUUUAAUAAAUUAAUUAAUAGGUUUAAAAAGAUUAAUAUACAUCAAAAUAUUAUUAGUUGGUGGUGGUUCCACAUCGGACUAAGACGUGGCACCUUACUUGUGAGAUUAAGACAAUCAGGCUUAGACUAUUUAAAUAUGUUUGAAGCUUAGAUGGCACCGCUUCAAUUUGCAUUAAUGAAUGUCAUUCUUUACCCUAAUUACUACGUAAUUGAUAACAUGCAAUUGAAAUAACUAAUAUUAGCACUUGGCUAUAAAUGAACUAAAGGCCGUGCAAUUGAAUCUUUACUUGAUCACUUCAUUCCUUUAUUUUGCUAACACAGAUUUUGAGAUAUUAAAACGAAAUAAUAAUUGAAUCUGGCUUUGUGGGUCGAUGAUGCCAGCAACAACGAGACCACAAUUAUCACUUGUUUAUUUGCUGUAUUUGACGUUGUUUCAUAUUGGUAGUAAUAACUAAUAAGGUCGUUGUAGAGUUUUUAAUCUUUUUUUUUAUAUUAAUCACGAGGUAUCCUGGGGAGGGCCCCAACUGUGGGAGGCACCUUUAAGCUCGUACCACAACCCAGACUAGAAGUCCCCGCUCGAACCGGGAGGCACAGUUUUUAAUCUUUUUUAUAUUAAAGUUAAGUCAAUUUGUUAUAAAUAAAUAAAAAAUUGGUUGAGUUUAAUUAUAUUGCUAUGUACAUUAAAUAAUUAUAAUAUUCUCGAGGGAAAAAGACACCUAGAACCUCAAGGUUUGGGGAAAUGGUCACAAAAACUCCUAAGUUUUAAAAAAGGAACACUAAAAUCUUUUUUUACCCAUAAUACCCUUUGACUAUAGUAAUUAGAAAAUUGACUUUAAAGGUUUUUAAAUAAUACAAAUUUAAUAUAAAUCAUAUAAUCUAUCUAGUACACUAAUAAUAUUAAAUUAUUUUUUAUAUUUAAAAUAAUGUUAAAAAAUUUAAAUUAUUAUAUUUAUUUUAAUAAUAUAUUUAUAAAAUUAUAAAGAUUUUAAAUAAAUCUUUGGAUUGAAUAUAUUUUACAAUUAAAAGUCUUCCUAUUAAUAAUAUUAAAAUUAAAUUUUAAGUAAUAUAUAUUCAAAAUAUUUUUAAUUUAAUUUUAUUUAUUUUAAUAUUAUGUUUCUAUCUAUUAUUAAAAAUUACUUUAAUAUAAUAAAAUAGGUCUAAUAGAUUGAAAAAUAUGAAAAUAUUUUUAAAAUUUUAAAUUAUUUUGAAAUGUAUAUAUUAUUACAUUUAUUUCAAUGUCAUAUUUCCAUUUAUUAUAAAAUUUUGGGGUUAUUUUUUUGGGAAUUUAUAGAGUCAAAGAGCAUUAUGGUUAAAAAAGAGUCUUGGUGUCCCUUAUUGAAAACUUUAGAGUUUUUGUGACCAUUUUCCUAAAUCUUGGGGGUGUUGAAGUGGCACUUAUUGUAAGAUUGAUUUUAAAAUAUGUAAAAUUAAUUUUAUUACAUUACCAUAUGCUACAUCACCUGAAACUUAAUAAAUGGAACGUAGCAUUACUCCACGUUCACCGUUAUGACCUUAUGACAUUAGAAUUAAAAUCUUUCGUACGUUUAAAUUGUUUACUUCCAAAUUAAUCUUUCGUAAAUAUUUUGUACAGAUCUUAUCGGAGUUAGCGUGUUCAUUACAGUGUUUCUUUUCUUUUAUCCUUUCUUUUGAAACGUAUUUCCUGUGGACAAGGAAAGCAAAUAAUACCCUGCCACCAGGACCUCGCGGCUUGCCUGUAAUCGGAUACCUUCCAUUUCUCGGAAUUACUGACUUACACAAGACAUUCACGGAAUUAGCUGGUCUAUAUGGCCCGAUCUUCAAACUCUGGCUUGGCAACAAAUUGUGUGUAGUGGUUAGCUCGCCUUCAACUAGUUCUAUAAGAAUAUCCCUUUUAAGGGAUUCUCUCUCUGCAAAAUUUUUUUAUCUUCUGGUGCAUAAUAAAAACUUAUGCCACUUCAUUAACCACAGAUAUCUUUUGAGGAAACGAUGUUUCGUUUUCUUUUGUUUUUUCCUUCCUAAUCCUCGCAUAUCGUGUGAAGGCUAAUAUAUCCAAGAAUCUAAAUCUCUGUAAAUCUUUUUCUAUCCAAAUCUACAUAAUAAUUUAAUCCAUGCACAAUAUCUAUAAUUAUAUCGGCUGUCGGCUGAUUUCGUGGAGGGGGCGGCAGUUCAAAUUUUUUACGUGCAUGUUGGAUGGACGUCUCUAUUAAAGGAGAGCCACCACUUGCAUGGUAAUUUUUUUAAAUAAAUAUAUACAUUUCAAAAUAUUAUUUCAUUGUUGUAUAGUUAACAUGUCACCUUAGAUGUAUUUUAGAACUUCUCCUAUUAAAGAUAAUCUCAUGCAGUGAUACUUCUCGUGAUCUAAUCAUUAGUAGAAUCUAUAAUUUCGCUACUGUAAUAAAAUCUGUCCCUACCCUAUAUGAAUGUAGAUAUUUGACGCGAUUUGUAAUUGCUUCCGACAGGAAAACAGCAAUAGUUUAAUUGAAAUUUGUGGUAUGGAUUCCACGAAUCUUAUGACAGAAUACUGACCACUCCAACCCUAUCCACAUUUACACGAUUAAAACACAAGCUUAGAUGUGACAAUGCAUUUGUCACUUUUGUUCAAAUUCAUCCUGAAACACUAUACACUAAAUAAUCGAAUAUGGCUUCGUGGGUCGAUGAUGCUAGCAGCAACGAGACUGCAAUUAUCACUUGUUUUGUUGCUGUACUUGUCGUGGUCUAUUUCGCAUGGAAUGUAAACAAAUCAAGUAAAGCAAAUGCUAAAUUGCCACCAGGAUCUCGGGGCUUGCCAGUAGUCGGAUACCUCCCAUUUCUUGGAACUACUGACUUACACAAGACAUUCACGGAGUUAGCUGGAGUUUAUGGUCCGAUCUUCAAGAUUUGGCUUGGGAAUAAAUUGUGUGUAGUGGUGAGCUCGCCUACCCUAGUUAAACAAGUGGUCCGUGAUCAAGAUAUAACAUUCUCAAACCGCGACCCACCGAUCGCUGGAACUGUGACCACCUACGGUGGCAAUGAUAUUGCACUUUCCAAUUAUGGUCCCGAAUGGAAAAAGUUGCGAAAAUUAUUUGUGAGCAAGAUGAUGAGUAAUGCAACCCUUGAUGCUUGUUAUGCUCUAAGAAAACAAGAGGUUAAAAAUACUAUCAGGGAUUUGUACAACAACAAUAAGGAUAAUAUUGGCAGUGGCAAUGGCAAGCCCAUUGACGUUGGUGAAUUGUCGAUUUCAACUUUGGUACGUGUUAUGCAGAACAUGCUGUGGGGUCAAGCAUUGGAAACAAGAGAGAAAGAGAUUACUAAUCUCGGGGCUAAUCUUGCAGAACUCAUGGUGCUACUGGGAACACCAAAUAUUUCGGAUAUUUUUCCAGUGCUUUCAUUGCUUGACAUGCAAGGUAUAGAGAGAAGAGCUAAGAAGAUUUCUCUAUGGUUUGAAAACAUUAUCAAUUCUGGUGUUGAACAGUAUAGAAACAAGUUUUCUGUUGUUAAAGGUGAAGAAGCUGCAGCAGGAAAAAAUAUUGAACGAUCAAGAAAUAAGGACUUCUUGCAGUUACUGUUGGAGCUUCAGGAAAAUGAAGAUAGUGCUUCAUCUAUUAGCAUGAACCAACUAAAGGCCGUGCUCGUGGUAUGUUAAGCAACUAGACACAAAAAGUUGUAAAAGCACAGUGAUAUAUUUGCGCGAGGCCGCGAGUGAUGUUUUGCCUCGAGAACUCUCAAUUUUAUCUUACGGUAAAAAAUGUUUUUCAACUUUUUUUAAUUAGAAUUUUAUUGCAAUUUAUUUAACAGGACAUAAUUGUGGCCGGAACCGACACCACAACUACGAUGGUGGAAUGGACAAUGGCAGAGUUGAUGCAACAUCCACAAGUAAUGAAGAAAGUUCAAGAAGAAUUAGCUCAAGUUGUGGGCAUGGACAGUUGUGUUGAAGAAUAUCACUUGCCUAAAUUAAAUUAUUUAGAUGCUGUGGUGAAAGAAACAUUUCGUUUGCAUCCUGCGUUGCCCUUAUUGGUACCUCGCACGGCAAGCGAGAACAGCAAUAUUGGUGGCUAUACCAUUCCCAACGACACUAAUUUUAUGUUGAAUGUUUGGGCUAUUCACAGGGAUCCUCAACUUUGGGAUAAUCCCUUAGAUUUUCGACCUGAGAGGUUCUUGAAUGAUGAUAUCAUAAGCAAAUUCAAUUACUCGGGUAACAAUUUUCAGUACUUGCCAUUUGGUUCUGGUAGAAGGAUGUGCGCUGGCAUUCCUCUAGCUGAGAGGAUGUUGAUGCUUGUUCUGGCUUCGUUGUUGCACUUGUUUGAGUGGAAAUUGCCCCCGGGCACAAAGCUAGACUUAGCUGAAAAGUAUGGGAUUGUCAUGCGGAAAAAAGAGCCUCUGAUUGCUAUUCCAACACCAAGGCUACCAAAUUCAGAUCUCUACCAGUAAGAUCAAAAUGGUUGUGAUGAUAUUAUUUCCCAUUGUAUUGGAAUAUUUUUGUGUGAUUUGAAGUUCAAUCAUAAUAAAAUAUUUUAAUAAAAUGUCCUCGGUUGCUAAUUUUUCAAUAGUAUACUCUAUCAUCGUUUCUAACUGUCUUUUAGAGCCAUUUGGUCUAAUUUAUUUUUGAAUUAAAAUCCAUAAAUAUUUAAAUUUUUGAAUCAUAUUAAGAAUUAUCUGGAGUGUAUGGUCUGAUCUUCAAGUUCUGGCUUGUAAACAAAUUAGAGUUCUGAUAUUUGCCCCGGGUCAAACCCCGAAAUUAAAUAAAACGGCGUCGUUUUGUUUUUUUUUUUUUUUUUUUCUUUUUUACUUCUUCCAAACGUUGCCAUUUCACUUGUCAUUUGCAAGUGACUCCAUUGAUCCUUAGUUGAAACAGAGUUACACCGUAAAUCUCUUCCUCUUCGUUUCUUCGUUUCACCAGGGAACGAGACAGAUAAAAUCCAGCCAUUCUUCGACAUAACAAGAUAUCGAUUAGAAUCCAACGACAUAACUAUAAACCAUGACAUUGCGCUUGAUUUUGCGAAAUACCGAUUAAGAACCAGUAACUUUGAAUCCAAUGACCGUUAAGAGUUUGAAAUUGGUUUCAAAUGACUAAUGAGUUAUCAGAUUUCUUUGCGUCUACAUUUUCCUUGAAGGUUUCUCAGCAGCCAAACAAAUACAAAGCAAAUUGCAGAAGAAACACAUUUUGUUCCAAUGAAAAAUGUACGGAAACAUUUUAAAUAUGGAAAAUUACCUCAAAAUGAAGGCUCGCAAGAGAUUCGAGCAACAAAUUAGAUCAAAGGAACCGGCGCUGAGCAAGAAAGUGAGCUCAAAGAUUCCGAAACACAAACGUAAAUUCACAAAAAUGCAAAUCUAUGAUGAACGCCAAGAUCAAAAUUUUCGAAGAAAGGGAGCUGAAAAAAUAAAUGAAACGUCAAACUAGAUGACAAUGGAUUUGCUUCUUCAAAGGAGACAAUGAAAUUGUUACUAGAGACAGCUAGAGAAAUAGAGAGAGAGAGAGAGAGAGCUUGAAUUGGCUGUACCCCCACCAGAAAGUGGGUAGUGCCUUUUCCACUUGGACUUGAUAUGCGAAUCUGAAAAAAUCUGAACGAAGGACUGACUCAUCCCAGCUCGAAAGCAAACCAAGCUAGGACUGACUGAAAACGUUGCCGUUUGGAGAAGUUAAAAAAAAAAACUAAACAAAACGACGCCGUUUUGUUUAGUUUCGGGGUUUGACCCGGAAUUUGACCCGGGGCAAACAUCAUUUUCCAACAAAUUAUGCAUGGUCGUGUACACGCUUUCCCUAAUUAAGCAUGAGGUUCGUGAUCAAGGCACAACAUUCACUCCCUGCGACCCAACAAUCGCUACAUUGUUUGCCACCUAUAGUGCCAACGAUUUUGCACGGUCCAAUUAUGGUCCCCAAUCGAAAACGUUGCGCAAAUGUUUUCUGGGCAAGAUGAUAAGUAACGCAAGCCUUGAUGCUUGUUAUGGUCUAAGAAAACAAGAGGUUAAUAUAUAUAUAUAUAUAUAUAUAUAUAUAUAUAUAUAUAUAUAUAAAUUGGCAUUGUCAACUUUUGUAUGUUUUAUUCAGAACCCGCUGUGGGUUGACGCUAGCAUGCUUGCGUUAGGAGACGAGGGGACCAAUCUUGGGGCUGAGCUAAAAUAUAAGCUUGUAGAGAUCAUCUUGCUAAUGGUAAUGUUUUCCGAUGCUGGUUUAAUUCAUGGUAUAAAAAGGAGAACAAAAAAGAUUUUUCUAUGCUUUGAAAAUAUUAUAAUUUUUAUUUUAUAAUUUUUAAUAAAAUCUCUCAUUGAUAGCCAAACAAUUAAAAUUUUUGUAAAGCUUUUGUGGACUUUUGAUCGCGUAUGGUGCCAAUGUAUUGCGUGGUCCUAUUAUGGUUCCAAAUGGAGAAAGUUGCACAAGUUUUUUGAGUACCAGAAGAUCAGUAAUGUAAGCCUUGAUGGUUGUUAUGGUCUAAGAAAACAAGAGGCUAAAAAUUCUAUCUGGGAUUUUUAUAACAACAACAAAAUUGGCAAGCCCAUUGACAUUGGUGAAUUGUCAGUUUCAACCUUGGUAAGUGCGAUUCAGAACAUGCUGUGGGGUGAAACGCUUGAAAUAACAAAGAAAUGGAUUUACUAAUAUUGGGGCUGGGCUAAGAUUUAAGCUUGCAGAACUCACGGUGCUAGAGGGAACACCGAAUAUUUUGGAUAUCUUUCCAGUGCUUUCAUGGUUUAAUAUACAAGGUUUUCAGAGAAUAGCAAAGAAGAUUUCUCUAUGGUUUUAAAAUAUUAUCAAUUCUACUGCUGAACGCUAUAGAAACAACGUCUCUAUUGUCAAAAGUGAAGAAGCAGCAGCAGCAGGGAACAAUAUUGAAGGAAGGAAUAAGGACUUGGUGCAGUUACGCUUGGAGCUUCAAGGUAAAGAAGACAAUGCUUCAUCAAUUAGCAGGACGCAAUUUAAGAGCUUGCUCGUGGUAUGUUGCGCAACUAGCCACAGACAGUUACAGAAACUGAGUUUGGCAGAUUACGACCGUUUCUGGUGAUUACAUAAUUAUUUGUGGCUGUUUUUUUUUUUUAAUUGUAAUUUUCUUAACAGGAUAUAAUUUAGGGUGGAACCAACACCACAACUAUAAUGGUGGAAUGGACAAUGGCAUAAUUGAUACAGCAUCCACAAGUAAUAGAGAAUGUACAGGUAGAACUAAAUCGGGCCGUGGCCAUCGACAGCCAUGUUGAAGAAUUUCACCUAGCUAAGUUAAAAUAUUUAGAUGCUGUGGUGAAAGAAACAUUCUGCACUGUAAUAUAAUACAUGAAUCAUAUGUCCUCUAUUGUUUUUUUAUUUUUCUCUUUUUUUCAAUAGCUUAAUCUAUCAUUAAAAUCUUCUGAAAUUCUAAAUUAAUAUACAUUCAACCUAGAGUUCAAGCCAAAGUUUUAUUGAGCAUUAAAAAAAAAAAAAAUUCUACGACUCAAAAUUUUGUGGAGUAUAAAUUAAAAAUUAUGCGCCUACUAAGAGACAAAAAAUAAAUGAUACACAUUAACCAAUCAAAGGCGAACAAGAGAUUAUUAACAAUAACCUAAUAAUAAAAUUAUAAUGAAUAAAAAAGAAAUGGUACCUAGAAACACAUCACAGCCAUUUAAGCAAUCACUUACCCACAAAAUCCAAACAUAUAAACUAUGUGGGGGGGGGGGGGGGGGGGGGGGGUGUCAUGAUACCUUUGGGUUUCAUGAUAAUCAAAAUUGCAAUACCAUUAAAGACUCAAAAAUAAAAAAAAUCAUAGCCAAUAAAAGAGAAAAAAUAACCCACAAAAAAUCAUCAAGAAAAUAAAUUUGAGACUAAGAGAAGAUAUUAAUUAAACCCUGGGUUGCCUUGGAACCACGGCUUUGGCUUCCAUUUUUCAAUUCUUGGCGACAAGUCAUUUCUUGUUUGUUUACAAAGAUGACGGCUGAUUAAUGAAGCUCUAUUAACAAUGAAUAAAUAAAAAAACUGGCGCCUUGAAAAGACUAACGGUCAUAUUUUUCAACUCCGAAUUAGUGCCGUUUGAUGAGUCCUUGCCAAAACAAUCACUAGGCAAAUAACAAUCAUUUUUCAACCAGCAAAACUCAUUCAUUGUAUUUCACCUUAGUCAAGAUUUAAAAAUUGUUUCAAAAUAAACCUAGUGGUUAGAACCCAAGCGUCACAAUUGUGAGGUCAUGGGUUUGAGCCCCCACAACGUAUUGUGGGGGUUAAUUUUCUUCUUCAAUUUGAGUGAAAACAGUUCUCUCCCUUUCGAAAUGUGGGUGGAGUGGACGUCCCUCAAAUAUUAGAGAGGGUUCAAAUUUGGAUUGUACUAUAUAAGAUUUAUAAAUUAGUCCCAGUAAUUAUCUGAUUGUAAAUAUCAAUAUACUAAUCUAAUUAAAUAUGAGUUGUAAUAUGAGCGUUAGUCUCAUGUAAUUAAAAAAAAAAUGUUUCAAAAUAGGAUUCUUAAAAGGUUGGGGAAAUGGCCAUCAAUAUCCCCAACUUUCCAAAAAGAGACACCAAGACCCAUUUUGACCAUAAUACCCUUUACUUCUAUUAUCCCCAAAAAAUUGACUCUAAUGUUUUAUAAUAAAUAAAAAUAUAACAUUAAAAUAAAUGUAAUAGUAUAUACAUUUUAAAAUAGUUUCAAUAUCUAAAAACCAUUUUAAUAUUUUAAAUCCUAUUAUAUAUAUAUUAAAGUAAAUUUUAUAAUAAAUAGAAUCAUAAUAUUGAAAUAAAUGCAUUAAAAUUUAAAUUAUUUUUAAUAUUAUGUAAAAUAAUAAUUUUAUCAUUAUAAGUAUAUGAGAAUUUUUUUAAUUGUAGAAUGUAUUUAAUGCAAAUAUUUAUUUAAAAUCUCUACAAUAAAUAAAAAUAUACUAUUAAAACAAAUCUCUACAAUAUAUACAUACAUACAUAUACAUUGGCCUGGUAUUUUAUUUUUCAUUUUUUAAACUUAUUAAAUCCUCUAACUAUCAUUUGAUUAUUUUUUUCAAUGAUGAAGAGGCCAUUGCCGGAUAAAUUAUUAAAAUCAACUAGUUCUACAAGAAUGUCCCUUUUUAAAGGAAGAUGAUUCUCUCUCUCGAAAUUUUUUAUCUUGUGCUACAAACUAAAAACUUAUGCCAUUUCAUUAACCACAGAGAUCUUUGAGGAAAUGAUGCUUCGCCCCCCCCCCCCCCCCCCCCCCCCCCCCCCCCCCCCCGCGGCGCCAAAAAGUGUCCUUCCAUAUUUUGUGAAGGCUAAUACAUCGAUGAAUCUAGAUUUCUUUAAAUUUUUUGUUUUACUCAAUUCGAGAUAAUAAAUAGUUUAUCUUUAUUAAAUCUUUACUUUAACAAUGAUAGAUAUUCAAUCCAUGCAAAUAUCUAUCAUUGUAUGAGCUGAUUGCGUGGAGGGAGCGGUAAUUGAAAUCUAAUUGAAAACAGCAGAAGGCUGUUCUUGACAGAUCUCAAAUAUAUUACGGACACGUUGGGAGACAUCUCUAUCAUAGAUAUCCCCAUGCAGUGAUAUUUGUCGUGAUCUAAUUUUUAGUAAAUCUGUAAGAGAGAUUGUAACAUCUUUCAAGUUUUUUGGUUUGAUAUUCUAGACGAAAACGGUUUGUCGUUUCUUGAGCAAACGGCUAACCGUUUAAGUCCAGAGAGCAUGUUUGUUGUUCUGGAUAAAACGGCUCACCGUUGUUGCGAAAACGGCUAACCGUUUAACUCAAGAGAGCAUGUUUUAUGUUCUAGAGAAAACGGCUCACCGUUAUUGAGAAAACGGCUAACCGUUUAUUUACAGAGAGCAACGUAUUUGAUAUUCUGGAAUAAAAUGGCUCACCAUUUAUUGAGAAAACGGCUAACUGUUUAUUUCCAGAAAGGCGUCAAUUAGAAAAACGGUUAGCAAGAAUGAAAAUUUCAAUUGACAAUCGAUGCAAAUUCAAACCAAAAGAGUGUCUUCGAAAAAGUACCAUUUCUAAUGGUUGUAUUCUUUCAAAUAAACAUCUUCUUCAUUAAAGAAAUACACACAAUUAGAUUGAUAAUCAGAUUUUGACAGGUUUCUUAUAUGUUCUGGAAAUACAAUCUUAUUUGCUAGAGAUUGUAUUCAGGAUUUGUUAUAUCUUGGGGGUAAUUUGCCAUUAAAACUAUAUAGCAAACCAAGAUUGGUGAGGGCAAAUAAAACCUUAAAGGAAAGUAUGCAAACACGUCUCAAAUCCUAUGAAACUUUCUUUGUUCUUUGCCUCCAUAUUCUUAUUAUUCACUAACAAAAUCCCCAUGCAGUGAUAUUUGUCGUGAUCUAAUUAUUAGAAAAAUCUAUGAUUUCGCUACUGUAAUAAAAUUUGUCACUACUCUACAUUAAUCUAAAUGUCUGAUGAGAUUUGUAAUUGCUUCCGACGGGAAAACAGUUAAUAGGUUGAUUGAAUGUAUGUGGUAAAGAUUCCACGUAUCUCACGACAGAAUGCUGACCACUGGAACCCUAUCUACUUUUACGCGAUUAAUUCACGAGCUUAGGCACGACAAUUGCAAUACAAAUUAUCCCUUCAUCAUAUAUUUCGUUAAAAUUCAUUCUGAAGCACUAAAACUAAACAAUCGAAUAUGGCUUUGAGGGUCGAUGAUGCCAGCAGCAAUGAGAGUGCAAUUAUCACUUGUUUAGUUUCUGUGCUUGCCGUGGCUUAUUUAGCAUGGAAUGUGAAAAAAUCAAGGAAAGCAAAUGCUAAACUGCCACCAGGACCUCGCGGCUUGCCUGUAGUCGGAUACCUCCCAUUUCUCGGGACUACUGACUUGCACAAGAAAUUCACGGAAUUUAUUUUACUAUUAUAUUUAUAUUCAAAAUAAUUUUAAUUAGCUUUUAAAAUGAAUGAUUUUAGGAAAUUAUAAAUAAAGGUAACUAAGAAUUCUCUUAAUGUAAUAUAUUAUUAAUUAGUUUAAAAAUACAAAUUUAUUAAUUAGAGAAAUUAUUAGUGAAUUUAAAUUAAUGAUCUUAAUGAUUUGUUUGUACGAUUGCCCCCAAUCAAAGGUAAUUUUCCUAAAAAUUAUUAGGAAAUUAGAGAAAUUUAAUUUUUUUAGUGGGUUCAAUUGCCCACACACCCCGACUGAAGCAUUUUUUACAAUAUGUACUCCGUUUGUCGGCAGGAAAAUAAAGGUCUUGACACAUGAUCACUUCACUCCUUUAUUUACUUUGCUAACGCAGAUUUUGAGGUAUUAAAACAAAUAAUAAUUGAAUAUGACUUUGUGGGUCGACGACGCCAGCAACGAGGAGACCGCCAAUUAUCACAUUUUAAGUUUGCUGUAAUUGCCGUUGUUUUAUAUUAGUAGAAUAUUAGUGAUAAGAUAAUUGUAGAGUUUUCAUUUUUUUAAUAUUAAAAUCAAGUCAAUUUAUUAUAAUAAAUUUAGUUGAAUUUAAUCGUAUUACCACAUAAAUUGAAUAAUAAUAGAAUUCUCGACAAUAUUUCAAUAUUUUAAUCUCAAGCAUUGGAGUGGCAUUUAUUUGUUAUACGGUCGAUUUUAGAAUUUAUAAAAUUAUUCGUUGCUGAAUUGCACCAUAUGCUGCAUAACCUGAAACUUAAUAAACGGAACGUAGCGUUGGCACCGUUACUCAACAUUCACUGUUACGACUUUGUGACAUUAGAAUUAAAAUCUUUUCCACAUUUAAUUUGUUUACUUCCAACUUAAUAUUUAACAAAAUGUAUGUUAGCAUUGUAUGCCAUAUCAUCUGUAAUUUUGUCAGGAUCGAUCAUUCUAAUUUUUAAGCAGAACUUUUUGUCAAUGGACAAACACCUCAUACAGCUUGUCAGAGGCAUUAGUAUGAUGUAAAAUUGUAAUGGUAUAUCUUGAAUUAUUUUAGAAUAGUGAAUAACUAUUUGGAGCAAUAAAAACAAAUAAGACAGAUGAGAAAAUGGCUAAAAUUAUAUAAGUGACCCAAAAUUUUUUGCUAUUUCCAAGAAAUCCCCAAUCUGAAUGGACCAGAGGGAGGCAAGUUAGAAAUACAUUUCCUUCAUAGACAAUAACAACGAUGAGUGGAUGACAUCAAACCACGUUGGUAUCAAUAUUGAAAUAAAGGUGCAAUUAUUCAGCCAAUGAGCCUUAGUACACAUCAAGAUAUAUAAAAGUCAAGAAAAUGAAAAUUUAUCCCAAUUAAAACUCUUUCUGGCUGCAUUUAGCUGUUUCUGUUUAGGGAUGGCAAUUUAAUCCGGACCCAGCCCGACCCGGAUGAAUCCAGAAAAUUCGGGGUGGAUUCAACCCGUACCGGAGUGAAUAAAAUCUGAUAUUCAAAUUCAAUAUUUUCAACCCGGACGUUUCCGAGUCCGGAUCCGGAUUUGGGUAAACCCGCAUAUCCGGAACCCGGAUCCGGAUAACUAUUUUAAUAUUAAUUUUUAAAUCAUUUUAAAAUAAAAAAAAAUUAGAAAAAAUCAGCCCUAAUGCCCUUCCACAGCCACGGCAGCCAAACCAAACCCAGACAUUUCCUCUCUCUCUCUUUAGCCCUUCUUUUCAACAAAUCAUCAUCGUUGCUCAUCAUCGUUUCGUCGUGUUCAUCUUCAUCUUCAUCAUCAGCUGCCGUUUGUCCAGCUAUGUCACUAGUUUUGGCCGCCGUUUCCGUUUGUGCACCUUCGCAAAUCGGGAUCUCGAUUUGGCCGCCAACACUUCUACCCCCUGGUGUUUUGCUUUGUCCUCGACAACUUCUUUGUUGAUAAAUUGACGGGCACUUAUGAAUGCAUUUGUCUCUGUUUCUUCAUUUACACCUUCCCAGUUGUUUGUUCAUUUGCUUUUUGGAAGGAAAAAAAAAAAAAAUCAGCCACCAUUUAUCCUUCCCCUUUUCUUGACCUAACCCCACAAAGCCCAAUUUGUCAUCAUCAUUCAUUGGCAAAUUUGUUAUCAUCAUGGUUGAGACAUCAUGAUUAUCUUUGAUAAUUGAAUUUGUGUAAUAUGUUACCUUGGAUUUUAUUUCUAAGUAUUUGAUUUUGAAUUAUUUUCCAUUAUUGGUGUUAAUAGAUAGAAGAUUAGAAAGGAAUUCUUCACUGAAUAAAGAGAUGGGAAAUUGCAUCUUUUAGCAAUCAUCCGGGUUAUAAACCCGGAAUCCGGAAACCAGGAUUUUUCCGGGUUUAACCCAGUCCGGACCCGAAUGAAAAAUAUCCGGGUUUACAUCCGGGUCUGGUAUUAAAAUUUAUCGUCCGGAUCCGGAACAGGGAAGACAAAACCCGGACCCGAACCCACAUUUUGCCAUCCCUAUUUCCAUUUGAAGUUAACAACAACGUUUCUUUCGUUUUGUGGGCGACUUGACUGAGCCAGCUGGAUUCUAGUGCUAGUAUGUGAAAAUAGAAGGCUAAUGAUUUCACGUUCACUAGCCCACCUCCCCUCCUCUCGUUUCCUCUGAAUCAAUUUUCACGUGUGGUACCGAUUGAAAAUAUCUCUGACAUUUCGUGGACAUCUCUAUUGAAAAUAUCUCAGACAUUUCACUCAGGCAAACUUAUUAAUAUAAAAAAUCUAUGAUUUUUUCGUCUUAUACUGUAGAAAAAUUUGUCUAUACAUUAAUCUAGAUGUUUGAGGUGGUUUAUACAUCUGUGGUAUAGAUUUAUAGGUUGAUUGAUACGUCUGUGGUAUAGAUUUUAUGUAUUUCAUUAUCAAAUGCUGGCCUUUGGGACCCUAUCUACAUCUAUUUAUAAAACUAACGGGUGCCAGUUAUGCCAUUACAAAUUAUCCCCUCUUCAUACAUUUCCUUAAAAUUCUUCUGAAACACCAAAACUAAAUAAUCGAAUAUGGCUUUGCGGGUCGAUGAUGCCAGCAACAAUGAGGCUGCAAUUAUCACUUGUUUAGUUUCUAUGCUUGCCGUGGUUUAUUUCGUAUGGAAUGUGAACAAAUCAAGGAAAGCAAAUGCUAAACUGCCACCAGGACCUCGCGGUUUGCCUGUAGUCGGAUACCUCCCAUUUCUCGGAACUACUGACUUGCACAAGAAAUUCACGGAAUUAUCCGGAGUUUAUGGUCCGAUCUUCAAGCUCUGGCUCGGAAAUAAAUUAAGUGUCGUGGUGAGCUCACCUUCCCUAGUUAAACAAGUGGUUCGUGAUCAAGAUACAACAUUCGCAGACCGUGACCCGCCGAUCUCAGGACUAGUGACCUCCUUUGGUGGCAAUGAUAUUACAUGGUCCAAUUACGGUCCCGAAUGGAGAAAGUUGCGCAAAUUUUUUGUGGGCAAGAUGAUGAGUAACGCAAGCCUUGAUGCUUGUUAUGCUUUAAGAAAACAUGAGGUUAAAAAUACUAUCAGGGAUUUGUAUAACAACGGCAACAAAAUUGGUAAGCCCAUUGACAUUGGUGAAUUGUCGAUUUCAACAUUGGUAUGUGCUAUGCAGAACAUGCUGUGGGGUGAAGCGCUUGAAUUAAAAGAGAAAGGGACAACUAAUCUUGGGGUUGAGCUAAAAUUUAAGUUUGCAGAACUCAUGGUGCUACUGGGAACACCGAAUAUUUCGGAUAUCUUUCCAAUGCUUUCUUGGCUCGACAUACAAGGUAUAGAGAGGAGAGCAAAGAAGAUUUCACUCUGGUUUGAAAAAAUUAUAAAUUCUACUGUUGAAAAGUAUAGAAGCAAGGACUUUAAUGUUGAAGGUAAAGAAAGAGCAGGGGAAAAUUUUGAAGGAUCAAGGAACAAGAACUUCUUGCAGUUACUAUUGGAGCUUCAAGAAAAUGAAGACGGUUCUUCCUCAAUUAGCAUGAACCAAUUUAAGGCCGUACUCGUGGUAUGUUAAGAAACUAGCCGCAAACAGUUAUACAAGCACAGCUGUAUAUUUUGCAUGAGUGAUAUUUUCAACCUUUUUUUUUUAUAAUUAGAAUUUUAUUGUAACCUUUUGGACAGGAUAUAAUUACGGCUGGAACCGACACCACAACUACGAUGGUGGAAUGGACAAUGGCAGAGUUGAUGCAGCAUCCACAAAUAAUGAAGAAAGUUCAGGAAGAAUUAGCUCAAGUUGUGGGCAUGGACAGUUGUGUUGAAGAAUUUCAUUUGCCUAAAUUGAAAUAUUUAGAUGCUGUGGUGAAAGAAUCGUCUCGUCUGCAUCCUGCAGUGCCUUUAUUACUACCACGCAGAGCAAGCGAGAGUGGCAGCAUUGGUGGCUAUAACAUUCCCAAAGAUACAACUAUUAUGUUGAAUGUUUGGGCAAUCCACAGGGACCCUAAACUUUGGGAUAAUCCCUUAGAAUUUCGACCCGAGAGGUUUCUAGAUGAUGGUAUCGCGAGUAAGUUCGAUUACUCAGGUAACAAUUUUCAGUACUUGCCAUUUGGUUCUGGUAGAAGGAUGUGUGCUGGGAUUCCUCUAGCUGAGAGGAUGCUGAUGUUUGUUUUGGCUUCGUUAUUGCACUCAUUUGAGUGGGAAUUGCCAGCUGGCACAAAGCUAAACUUAUCUGAAAAAUUUGGGAUUGUCAUUAAGAAAAAAGAGCCUUUAGUUGCUAUUCCAACACCAAGACUAUCCAAUUCAGAGCUCUACCAUUAAGACAGAAUGGUUGUGAUGAUUUUGUUAAUUUCCGAAGAUUUGUAUGUUAUGUCAAGUUCAAUCGUAAUAAAAUAUUUCAAAUAAGAGUCCUCCGUUGCUUUUUUUUUUUUUUUCAACCGCAUAAUCUGUCGUCAUGCUUGUAUUUGGGGCUACUUUGGAAUAAUUAUGUUUGAAUUACAAUAUAUAAAUAUUACAUUUUAAAAUUUUAUGAGAUUCUAAAUUUAUACACGUUCAAUAACCCACUUCAUAUAUGUUUAACACAAUUUAUAUCAUACAUUGUAUACCCAUUUGUCAUAAAUUACGCUAUUUUAUAUCUCUAAAUAAUAUUACAUAUUGAUAUUAUAAAAUGUUGUUAACUCACGUGUGUAUAUAUAUAUAGCAAGUCACGUGCAUAUAUUAUUGGUUGUUAUAUGUUUGCUAGUUUGAUAGGAUUUCCUUUCCUUGUGAACUAGGGUAAUUCUUAUGUACAUAUAAAUAUUGAUCAAUAAGAGUGCAGAUGAUGACUGCAGUUUUGCAUCGUAGAAAUUCUUCGUAAAAUAUAUAUGUUUAUCAAAAGGCUAUACCAUUCAAUAUAUAUUGGAAAGAGAACAAAGAAGAUCUUCUUAUGGUUUGAAAAUAUUAUGAAUUCUGCUGUUGAACAGUAUGGAAACAAGGUCUGUUGUUAAAGGUGAAGAAGUCACAGGGAACAAUAUUGAAGGAAGAAAUUUCACGUUUAGUUGCUGAAUUUGCCGCUGUAUUCUAUCGGUAGUAAAAAGAUUAGAGUUUUUAUUUUUCUCUAUUAAUGUUAAGUCAAUUUUCUAUAACAAAUUCGGUUGAGUUUAAUUGUGUUACAAUAUAAAUUGAAUGAUAGUAGAAUUUUCAACGAAUAAUUCAAUAUUUCUAUCUCGAUUGUUGAAGUGCCAUUUAUUUGUUAUACGAUCGAUUUUAAAAUUUAUAAAAUUAUUUGUUACUAAAUUGCAUCAUAUGCUAAAUCACCUGAAACCUAAUUUCAUAACUAACCCUUUAUUUUUAGUUCUCAAGAAAUCUUGUAAGAACAAAAUUCUUUUGUAACAAAACGUUUACAACAAAUUAAUUUGUAACUCAUUCCUGUGCGAGAAUCACUCUCAAUUUCCUUCAAUUGCUGUUUAACAAUCAUCUGCUUAUCAAAAUUCAAGCAUAAUCUUUUUUUUUAAUUUCUUCAUCAUUCUUUUGAAAAAAAAAAUCAGGAUAUGCUGUUAAAUUUUGAAAUAAAUUAUCUCAAAAUAAUUACUAACCAGAAAAAACAAAGGGGUUUAACUAGGUUAUGCAUACCUUUGAAAAUUAUAUGUUGAUCGAUAAGAAUGAUGAUCACGAUUGACGAGUUUAAUUAAAAUAUAUAAGAUUUUAAAAUUAAUCAGGGUUAAAUUGUGAAUUUUAGAAAGAGAGGUUUUGUGAGAAUGUUGAAAGGGUGUUAAUAGUUCCACUCUUUUUAAAAACAACCAUAGUCAUCAUUUUUCCAUGGUUGUUUUUAAAAAGAGUAUUUCUUCUUCCCAUCUCCAUCUUAUUUAGAAAUUUCCCAGAGCCUUUGUUUCCCACCUUUCAUUUUUCUUCUUUCUAAUUUAAUAAUCCACCCUUCUUGUAUUCAAACUAAAAAAUUAAAAUCUGAAAAUUUAAAACCCAAUAUUAUAGUAUUAUAAAAAUAAUUACUCACAUUUUAUCAAACACCUCCAUUCUUCCAAGGCCUUGUUUUAGUAGUAGGCUUUUAUUAUCUCAAUAAAAUUGAAAAAAAAAAUCUCAAUAAUAUUGGAAAAAAACCCUACCCAUAUUUGUAACUUUAAUUUAUUAUUCUCCAUAGACCUACUUUUUAGUUUUGAAUUUUGUUGGAGCCAUAUAUAAACAGAAUAUGUUGAAAUCAGCACCCAAAAAAAAAAAAACUAAUUAUAUAAUUUAUGUUCCCAAGGACAUGGCUGAGUGAUUUUCAAGAAGUUUUGUUUGGCUGGCCACUUAGGUUUAAAUCUUGGUGGAGAUUAAGGGUUAAGAAAUAAAUUUAGACUUUGCACACCCCUUUAACUUUUAAAAAGAAAUGAAAAAAUUAAUUAAUUAAUCUUUAUUUUAUUUAUUAAAUGUCAUAAUCCUAUGCGUAUUUUAUUUGUUAUCUUUCUAUUUAAAAGACGAGGGCAGAUAAAACUGAAAUAAAUUUUUAGCCCUAUCUCCAUAUUUCAAGUUCCAUAGUUAGGUGACCAGCUAAAAAAAAUUAAUUGAAAGCUACUCCAUCAAAUUAAAAAAAUUUAUUUAUUUAAUUUGUGGAGAUGUAGAAAAUCAAACCCCAUACCUUUUCGCAUACACUGAACAUAUUUUAAUACAUGACUAUCAUCCUUUAUCCUAAAUACUACUAUAACUAAUAACAUACAAUUGAAAUAAUUAAUGUUAACACUUGGCUAUAAAUAAAGGUUUUGUGCUUGAAUCUUCACGCAUGACCUUCAUUCCUUUAUUGACUUUGCUAACACAGAUUUUGAGGCAUUAAAACUAAAUAAUAAUUGACUUUGUGGGCCGAGGAUGCCAGCAACAAGGAGACCACAAUUAUCACUUAAGUUACUCUAAUUGCCGUUGUCUUAUAUUCAUAGAAUAUUAGUAAUAAGAUUAUUGCAGAAUUUUUUUAAUAUUAAAAUUAAGUCAAUUUGUUAUAACAAAUUUAGUUGAGUUUAAUCGUGUUACUACAUAAAUUGAAUAAUAAUAGAAUUCUCGACAAAUAUUUCAAUAUUUUUAUCCCAAGCGUUGGAGUGGCAUUUAUUUGUUAUACGAUCGAUUUUAGAACUUAUAAAAUUAUUCGUUACUGAAUUGCACCAUAUGCUGCAUGACCUGAAACUUAAUAAACGGAAUGUAGCGUUGGCACCGUUACUCAACAUACUGUUACGACUUUGUGACAUUAGAAUUAAAAUCUUUUGCACAUUUAAUUUGUUUACUUCAAAAUUAAUAUUUAACAAAAUAUUUUUUUCACAUUAUCAAUGGACAAAACUCCAACGAAAAUAACUACACAAGAAAAAUGUAUGCUAGUAUUGUGUGCCAUAUCAUCUGUAAUUUUGUCAGGAUCGAACACUCUAAUUUUUAAGCAGAACUUUUUAUCAAUGGACAAACACCUCACACAGCUUGUCAGAGGCAUUAUUAUGAUAGAAAACUGUAAUGGUAUAUCUUGAAUUAUUGGUAGAAUAGUUCUUUGGAGCAAUAAAAAUAGAUAAGACAGAUGAGAAAAUUGUCAAUACCCCACCGCAAAAGCAAAAGAAAAAAAGGAAAGGAGACAAAAGAGGAAGAAGAAAAAAAGGAAAGGAGACAAAAGAGGAAGAAGAAAAAGAAAAAAGAACGAAGAAAAAAAUGGUGCCGCGCUGUAUUGGGAAGAAGAAAAAAAUUAAUAAAAUAAUAAUAAAUAAUAAAUAAUAAAUAAUAAAAUAAUAGUGCACAACAAUCAUUUGAUUGCUAUAAAUAAAGGGGCAUUUUCCUCAUUUUAUUCAUCGAAUUCUUCAGUUCCUUUCAAGCGAUUUAAGAGUCUAGUGAUUUGAGAGUUUGGGAGUAUUGUGAUUUUGAGUACUAAGUUAAAAUACUAUAAUACUUGUAACUCAUUUUCACUAGUAAAAUAUUUUUCUUCUGUCUUCGCCCGUAGACGUAGGCUAAAAGCUGAACCACGUAAUUUCUGGUGUCCCUAUGUGAUUAUGUGUCUCAUUAUUUCUCAAUUUUACUUUAGUUACGUGUCUGCUACACCCUUCAAUUUACUAACAAAAAUGGCCAAAAUUAUAUAAGUGACCCAAAUUUUUUUGCUAUUUCCAAGAAAUCCCCAAUCGGAAUAGACCAAACUAGAGGGAGGCAAGUUAGAAAUACGUUUCCUUCAUAAACAAUAACAGCGAUGAGUCGAUGACAUCGAGCCACGUCGGUAUCAAUAUUGAAUUAAAGGUGCAAUUAUUCAGCCAAUGAGCCUUACACAUCAAGAUAAAAGUCAAGAAAAUGAAAAAUUUAUCCUAAUUAAAACACUUUCUGGCUGCAUUUAGCUGUUUCUAUUUGAAGUUAAAAACAACAUUUCUUUCGUUUUGUGGGCAACUCGACUGAGUUCGCUGGCUUCUAGUGCUAGUAUGUGAAAAUAGAAGGCUAAUGAUUUAUUUGUUAUCUUUUGACAAAAAAUGUUAAAGAUAUAAUAGAUUUUCCAUGAUACAAAUGAAAAAUUAUAUCAACAUAACUUCCAAGCUACAGCAGCUAGUGUUUACCAAACACUUUGCUGUAGCUUUUAAGCUACAGCUGCCCAACCUCAAUAGGUUGAUUGAAUUUGUGGGAUAUAGAUUCCACAUAUCUCAUGACCUAUUAAUUAUACAAGUGGUUCUUGAUCAAGAACAACAUUUGCUUCCGACCCAGUAACCCAGCAACUGCUGCACUGGUCGCCACCUAUGGUGCCGACGAUAUUGCAUGGUCCAAUUAUGGCCUUGAAUGGAAAAAGUUGAGCAAAUUAUUUGUGGGCACGAUGAUAAGUAACGCAAGCCUUGAUGCUAGUUAUGGUCGAAGAAAACAAGAGGUUAAGAAUACUAUCAGAGAUAUGCAUAACAACAAAAAGGAAAAAAAAAAAAAAAGGCAUUGGCAAGUCAAUUGAUAUUGCUGAAUUGUCGAUUUCAACUUUGGCAUGUGUAAUUCAGACAUUGCGCGUUGUGGUAUGGCGCUGGCACGCUUGCAUUGCCGAGAGGACAAAUCUUGGGGCUGGGCUAAAAUUUAGGCUUGUAGAACUCAUGGUGCUAAUGGGAACGCCAAAUUUUUUUAACAUAUUUCGGUGCUUUCAUGGUUUAAUUCAAGGUAUAGAAAGGAGUGUUGAGAAUGUCAAAUAAAACGACAUUGAAUGGAAGUUGUCAAAGACAUGAUCCGCACUGAACGGCAAUGACACGGUUGGUAAAGAUUUUUUCAUAAUAUGCGUAUCUAAUUUUUGAAAAAUUGUAACCUCUGCUUCUAUAAAUAUGCUCAAUGUAUAAUGUUUUACUUAAGAAAUGAAAAACUUAAUUCUUUAUGGUAUCAGAGCGAGGCUCGUUGCUCUGUUUGUAACAAAAACAAAGAAAACUAAAUUCUUCCCACAACUAUUUUUCCACCUUUUUUUCUUCCUUAAAAGCAUUCCUAGCAUUACAGAAACCCAUGCCAAUAAAAGAACAAGCCACACAUAUGUAAAAACUUUAGUUUACAAAUCUAUCAACAUCCCCAUAAAUUUUCCCAAAAAGUGAUCUUCAAAAACCAAAAAUACCAUCAAUUUUCGCAUCUUCUAGUAAACAAACUAUAAAAGUUUCGCACUCAAACAGAGCCACACGCGCCUCCACGCGCUUCCCGGAAUCACGGCCAACCACCACGCGCCUCUGUCACCACCAACUCACCCUCAUGCGCUCCAGAUGUUGCAGAAGACGCAAAACGACGUGUCGUUUUCUUCUCUAAAAGUGCAGCAACGUGGAAAUGACUUUUUGUUUUUGCCUUAAAUUGUUUUUCCUCGUUUGAAGCUAUACAACAUUUUUCUUUCUAAACCUGUUUUUUACAAUAAAAAAAGAAAAAAAUGGAGAAAACUCCAACUGAAUCUACUCAUGUUGUCAUUCAAUCUGUUCAACCUGAUGGAGUAUUUAAUGCCGAAAUUAUCCUUACUAAGACAAACUACGAUAUUUGAUCUCAAAUAAUGGAGAUGCAUCUCGCAGAAAGAAAAAAACUCCCAUAUAUUCGUAGCAGCAUAAAUCCAUCUGACAAAUUUUCAAAGAAAUAUGAGAAAUGGUAUAGUGAGAACCAAAAAGUAAAAAGAUGGUUACUCAUAACCAUGUGUCCUGAGAUCAUGAAGCGAUAGUUACAAAUUCCUACAGCCUACGAAAUUUAGAAUGCAUUAUCAAAAGCCUUUUAUAAUGGAAGCGAUGAAAUACAAGUUUUCACUCUAAAUCAGAAGGCGUUCUCUACGAAGCAAAAUGGACAACCACUCUCUAAAUUCUACGGAGAAUUGAUCAAAAUGUUUCAAGAACUUAAUCACCGAGAUAAAGUGGUCAUGAAGGAUCCAGAAGAUGUUAUAAUAUAUAGGAAGUUUGUUGGAAGAUUGAGAGUGCACAUUUUUCUUGCUGGACUAGAUGAAGAAUUUGACCAAGUUUGUGGAGAAAUUCUACGAAAAGAUACUAUCCUAGACUUAAAAGAAUGUUAUUCUCUAAUCCGAAAAGAAGAUGUACGGCAAAGCAAACUAACAAGAAGGUGGACGACUCAGAAACGUCUGCUAUGAUACCACAAGAGAACAAUGUUUUGAAAUUGUUCGAUAUCCUGACUGGUGGGAUACUCGAAGUAAUAACACAAAGCAGAGAUAAAAAACUGCAGUAGCUGAAUCCACAUCCACUACAGAUCUUAGAAAAGAAUCUUCAGCGCAAAUUGCAACCUCUGUCAAUUCAGGUAAGGUCAUUAAAACUCUUACAUUUGUUAUUAAUAGUAUAUGGAUAAUUGAUUAUGGUGCAACUGAUCAUAUGACUUUUGAUUCUUGACAAGUUUCUUAAUUGAAACCAUCUUCACAUAAACAUGUUUCUACUGUAAAUAGAACCACAACCUCAGUUAUUGGGGAAGGAUCUUUACAACUCACAAUUAAAUCAAAUUUAGACUUUGUGUUAAUUGUUCCAUCUUUAAAUUAUAAUCUUUUAUAUGUGUCUCAAAUAACCUCUUACUUAUCAUGUGUUGUAAUGUUUUGGCCCGAUCAUUGCAUGUUUAAGGACAUCCAAAUGAAGGAAACGAUUGGUUAUGAUAUUAAAUAAGGCAACUUGUAUUACCUGGAGAUGACAUCAACAAACACUGAAAAGCUAAGCCCCGCAUUAGUAGCAGACAAUUCCAUGAAAAAAAAGGAAAUAAGAAAUUUGGUUAUGGCAUAGACGAUUAGGGCAUGUGUCAUUUGAUUUCUUAAAAAAAUUGUUUCCUAGUUUGUUUCUGAAAUUUGAUAUUUGUAACUUUAAAUAUGAUGUUUGUGAACUUUCAAAUAGCCAUCGAACUACUUUUCCAUUGUCCUUAAAUAAGAAUCCAAUUCCUUUAAUGGUAGUACAUUCUGAUGUAUAGAGACCAUCUAAAGUUUCUACCAUUGGAAGAGCUCGUUGGUUUGUUACAUUUAUUGAUGAUUGUAGCAGAAUGACAUGGAUUUUUUUAUGAAAUUAAAAUCAUAUGAUGGUGACAACUCUAUUUCAGACACAAAUUUGAGUUCUACAUACUGAUAAUGGAGGCGAGUAUAUGAGCACAACAAUUCAACAGUUUUUGAAAUCACAAUGAACUCACCACCAAACCACUUGUGUGGGGACACUCCAACAAAAUGGCGUUGCUAAACAAAAAAAUAGACAUUUACUAGAAGUUGUUCAAGCAUCACUAAUUUAGGCCCGCAUGCCACUAUUUUAUUGGGGAGAAGCAUUGGCAUCCGUAGCAUACUUGAUCAAUCGGACACCUUCAAUCUUCCUUGGAUUCCAAACUUAUUUUCUAGUUCUAAAUGAAGAAUUAUGUCAUCAAAUGUGUCGAAUUUACCCCCACAUAUGUUUGGUUGUGUUGCCUUCGUUCAUUUGCCAUGACAAGAUAAAUUAUCUCCUCGAGCACUACGUUGUGUGUUUGUAGGGUAUGCCUUACAUCAAAAGGGGUACCGAUGCUAUCAUCCUCUAUUAAGAAAAAAUAUACAUCACCAUGGACAUAAUCUUUCAUGAAGAUAUCAUGUAGUACCCAUCGGAGCUUGAAUUUCAGAGGGAGUAUAAUGAAGAGGAAAUUCAUACUCUUACAUAUCUUUCACCUGAAGAAGAUCAAUCCUCCAUUGAGGUAGUAAACGUUCAAGAUACUGGAAAAGAAAACGACAAUGAUUCUCAGGCUGAGACAAGUGAAGACACAUUUAGGGAGCAAAAUAACUCAGACAUAACCACAAUCGAGAACGAGUCCAUGAAGAGCCACAUGAAGAAAUAUCUAACCAAUCAUCUGCAGAGGAUGAUCCUACCACAAAUCCCAGUCUAAUCAGAAGAAUACUUCCCCAGCAUCAAAAUAGAGGUAUCUCUAAACCCACAUAUAAGACUGACCUCUCUAGUAGAGUCAAAUACCCUAUGAGUCAUUUUGUAUCUAACCAUGGCUUAUCAAAAUCAAAUCAGUCAUUUGUGAAUCAAUUAUCUACUGUGUCUAUUCCUAACAGUGUGCAAUAAGCCUUAAAAUAUCGAAAGUGGAAAGGGCUAUGAAUGACGAAAUGAGAUCUCUUUAAAAAAAAUCAAACAUGGGAACUAAUUGAUCUUCCACCAGGAAAGAAACCAGUGGGUUGCCGAUGGAACUAGUUGAUCAUCCACCUCCAUUCUGACAAGCAAUGUUUAUCAGCAAUAACAAAUGACUGAAGCAUUUUAAUGAGGUUAGUAACGAAAAAGAGUUUAAUUAGAGAAUAUUAUAAGAGAAAUUCUAAUUUUUGAUUUUUAAUAAAUUAAAAUAUCUUAAAAUAUUAUUAGUUGGUGGUGGUUUCAUGUCAGAUUAAGACGUGACACCUUACUAAUGAGGUCGAGACAAUUAGCUUAAAUUAUUUCAAUGCAUUUGAAAUUUCCACUAAUGACUAUAAUUCUUUGUCCUAAUUACUAUGAUAAUUAAUAACAUACAAUUGAAAUAGUUAAUAUUAGCACUUGGCAAUAAAUAAUUAAAUUUCAUUAACACUAAAUAAUAAUUGAAUAUGGCUUUGUACAUCGAUGACGCCAGCAACAAGGGGACCGCGAUUAUCACUCUUUAAGUUGCUUUUAAAAUUGAUUUUAGUAGUGAUAUGAUUAUUGUAGUGUUUUUAUUUUUUAUAUUAAAAUUAAGUGAUUUGUUAUAAUAAACUUAGUUGAGUUUAAUGGUAUUACUACAUAAAUUGAAUAGUUAUCAAAUAUUUUAAUAUUUUUAUGGCAAGCGUUGACGUGGCAUUUAUUUGUUGUAUGAUGGAUUUUAAAAUUUAUAAAAUUAUUUGUUAUUAAAUUACCCCCAGAUGCUACAUCACCUGAAACUUAAUAAAGGUAUGAAGACAUGUGUGUGUGGACUGAAAUGAAGAAUAUGGAAAAGUUGAGAGCUGUUGUGCAGAUUGAGUUCAGUUGAUGGGGUCUAUUAGAUAUUGUCUGCUGACGUGGCAUGAAUUCGUUAUAAUCUGUUAUAACGAGUUCAGUAUAUCAGUAUACAAUAGAGCUGAUGGAUGGUGCCUGUUUUAGAGUCUUUUUUAUAUUCAUUUGUUCAUCAUUUUGCGCAAGAUCUGUUCCAUUGUGAUAUGUGUAAAGUCUUAUGUAAACCCACUUAUGAUUGGAUUAGUUCUUGAUUAAUAACAACGAGUAAAUUUUCCUUCAAGUGUGCUGGUCUGUGCCCCUGUUUUUUGUUCUGAUAUUGUUUCUUUGUUCUGGCAUUUCAUUUCGAUUGUGUUCUUGGUGUUUCUACUCAUCAAGAUUUAUGAGUCUUGUUGAGAUUAAAGACUUAAUAGUCUUAACAAGUGGUAUCAGAGCCUGGUGAAUCUCAGCCAUGUCUCUUUCGAAGCAUGAAAUUGAAAAAUUCACCAUUGGUGGUGAUUUCUCGCUUUCGAAAUUAAAAAUGAGGGCUCUCCUUGUGCAUUAGAGGCUUGAAUUUGCUCUGGAAAAAGAUAAUCUAGAGGCUGCUACAAGUUAUGUGACUGAUGAUAAGAAGAGACAAAUCCAAAACCGAGCUCGUAGCACUCUAGUUUUGAGUCUUGGUGACUCAAUCUUGAGAAAGAUUUCUGAAGAGAAGACAACCUUAGGGAUUUGGAACAAGGUAGAAGCUUUGUGUACAAAGAAGUCGCUAGCUCACAGACUAUUCUUGAAGAAAAAGUUAUACACAUUCUCGAUGAGAGAAGGAGUCACAAUUCAAGAUCACAUUGAUACCUUCAACAAGAUCAUUCUUGAUCUUGAAGGGGUGGAAAAUGUGACAAUAAGUGAUGAAGAUAAAGCCUUCUUCUUGUUGAGUUCCUUACCAAAGUCUUAUGAAGGCUUUGUAGAUACAAUGCUUUAUGGCAGAACAACAUUGACUCUUGAAGAUGUUAAAGCAUCUCUAAGUUCAAAAGAGAUUCAGAAGAACAAUGAGAUUGAAACAAAUAAUGGUGAUGGGCUGAUUGCCAGAUCAGAAAAGAAGAAAGAUCAGAAGAAUAAAAAUCAGGGAAAAUGACAUGGAAAGAAUUAAGAAAAUGCAGACAAGAAGAAAAAGAAGAGAAAAUGCUUCUACUGCCGGAAGGAAGGGCAUUACAUCAGGGAUUGUCUUAAAAAGAAAAAAAAAGAAAGUCAAGAGAAGUCAGGGGAUGCAGCUGUAGCCUCUGAUGAUGCCUCUGAUGGAUAUCACAUUGCUGAUUUACUUGUGGCCUCAAAUAGCAAUACUAAAGGUCAGUGGGUCAUAGACUCUGAGUGCUCUUUUCACUUGUGGCCUGAUAAAACCAUAUUUUACAAAUAUGAAGUUGUUGAUGGUGGUAGAGUCUUAAUGGGAAAUAAUAAUGUGUGUAAUCUUGUUGGUAUUGGUUCUGUGAAGAUCAAGAUGUUUGAUGGAACUGUAAGAGCUCUACAUGAGGUGAGGCAUGCUCCUAGGCUAAAGAGAAAUCUAAUCUCUUUAGGCAUGCUAGACAGCUUAGGGUAUUUCUUUAAAUCAGAAAGUGGUGGUUUAGAGAUAAGAAAGGGGACUGAGAUAGUGAUGAAGGGGGUUAAAGAAAAUGGCUUAUAUGUAUUGUAAGGCUCAUCAGUGCUUCUUCAAAAGGGAAUUUCUGCUCUUUUUGAGGAAGAUAUAACCAAGUUAUGACAUCUUAGACUUGGUCAUAUGAGUGUCAAAGGGAUGUAAGAGCUCAGCAAACAAGGGCUACUUGGUGGGGAUAGAAUCCAGCAACUGGAAUUAUGUGAAAAUUGCAUUUUUGGCAAAGCUCACAGGUCCAAGUUUCACAAGGGGGAGCAUAUGUCUAAGCAAGUUUUGGACUAUGCACAUGCUGACCUUUGGGGGCCUGCUCAAGUCCCAUCCUUGAGUGGUGGCAGGUAUUUCAUAUCACUAAUUGAUGAUUACUCAAGGAAGAUGUGGGUCUACAUACUCAAGACCAAAGAUCAAGCCUAGGAAAAAAUUCAAGGUAUAGAAAUCUUUGGUAGAAAAUCAAUUUGGAUUCAAGCUCAAAUGCUUGAGAACUGAUAAUGGUUUGGAAUUUUGUAGCAAAGAAUUUGAGGAAUAUUACAAAAAAACAUGGCAUAAAAAGGCACAAAACAGUCAGGUUCACCCCCCAGCAGAAUGGCUUGGCUGAAAGGAUGAACAUGACCUUGGUAGAUAAGACCAGAUGUAUGUUGAUAAAUUCAAAGCUUCCAAGAAGCUUUUGGGCAGAAGCUGUCAAUACAACAAGUUGUUUGGUUAACAGAAGCCCAUAUUCUGCAAUUGGCUUCAAAACACCAGAAGAAUUGUGGAAGGAAAAACCUGUAAAUUACCAAAAUCUCAGUGUUUUUGGAUGCCCUGCUUAUCUCCACAUCAAUCAAGGCAAGCUGGAAGCUAGGGCCUUGAAAGGAGUCUUUGUUGGAUAUCCUGAUGGGGUUAAGGGAUACAUAAUCUGGUGUAGAGAGUAAGGGAAGUGUAUAGUCAGCAGGGAUGUUGUGUUUCAUGAAUUUGGAUUGCUAAAAGAAAAUGCAGAGAAUGAUACUAGACUACAAAAUGAUUCAAUAAUUAUCAAACAAUCUGGAACUUCCAAGGUUAAGGUGGAGCUGUUUGGAAAUAAAGACAGUAGAAAAGAGGUAGCUGAUUAUGAAGAGAGGACCACAGCUAAAGUUGAGGAACAUGAGUCAUCAGAGUUGCCACAAGCUGACUUGCAGACUUAUCAGUUAGCAAGAGAUAGAGUUAGAAGAGAAGUCAAAGCACUAGUGAGGUAUGGCUAUGCUGACUUAAUUACUUAUGCAUUGUUGUGUGCUGAUGAUGUGGCAAUUGAAGAGCCUGCUAACUUCUCUGAAGUUAUUGAAAGUGUGCAUUGUGAUAAGUGGCUUGAGGCAAUGCAAGAUGAAAUGGGAUCCCUUCAAAGAAAUCAGACCUGGACACUUGUUCCAAAUCUAGGUAAUAAAAAGUUGAUCAGUUGUAAGUGGAUCUUCAAGAAGAAUGAAGGAAUUCCAGAUGUUGAACCUCCCAAAUAUAAAGCAAGGCUAGUGGCUAGGGGGUUUACACAGAGAAAGAGUGUAGAUUUCAAUGAAAAAUUUUCCCCUGUUCUUAAGCACAUUUCAAUAAGAAUUUUAUUAGUCAUGGUAGCCUUACUUGACUUGGAGCUUGAGCAAAUGGAUGUAAAAACAGCAUUCCUUCAUGGUAAUCUUGAAGAACAGAUAUUGAUGGCACAACCUAAAUGUUUUGAGUGCAAAGGAAAUGAGGAUUAUGUUUGUUUGCUGCAUAAGUCCUUGUAUGGACUCAAGCAAUCCCCACGACAGUGGUACAUAAGAUUUGAUGAUUUUAUGGUCUCAAAAGGCUAUCACAUAAGCAAAUAUGACAGUUGUGUUUACUUUGGUGGAUCAUAUCAAGGUGGAGUUGCUUAUUUGCUUCUGUAUGUUGAAGAUAUGUUAAUUGCAAGAAAAUAUAAGUUGGAGAUAGAGAGGUUGAAGAAAUGAAGGAUCUCGGCAAUGCCAAAAGAAUCCUUGGGAUGAACAUUACAAGGGGCAGAUCUGCUGACACUUUGUUCUUGAGUCAUGAGAAAUAUAUCAAGAAGGUUCUGGAGAGGUUUGAGAUGCAAGACUAUAAACCUGUCCAAACACCACUUGGUCCCCAAUUCAAGUUGACAGCAGCUCAAUCAUCAGAAGAUGAGUCUCAGGUGAGUGAAUUCCCAUAUGCACAGGUUGUAGGGAGCCUGAUGUAUGUAAUGGUAUGCACCAGGUCAGAUAUAGCUUAUGCAGUAAGUGUUGUCAGCAAAUUUCUCAGUUGUCUAGGCAAGGUUCACUGGAAUGUUGUAAAAUGGAUAAUGAGAUAUCUUAAGGGCUCUUUUACUUGUGGUUUGCUGUAUGGGAAGACUAAGAGUGACAUAAGUGAAGUCCUGGGGUUUGUAGACUCUGACUUUGCUGGAGAUCUUGAUAGAAUGAAGUCAACCUCAGGGUAUAUGUUUGUGUUAAACAGUUGCCUGAUUAGCUGGAAGUCAUCACUUCAGUCUGUGGUUGCUUUAUCCUCAACUGAAGCUGAGUUUGUUGCAACUACAGAGGCAGUAAAAGAGGCCAUGUGGCUAAGAGGUUUGCUUAAUGAGUUAUGGUUAAAUCAGAAAAUUGUUCAGGUUUUCUGUGAUAACCAAAGUGUCAUACACCUGGUAAAGAAUCAGAUGUAUCAUGAAAGAACCAAGCACAUUGAUGUGAAGCUCCAGUUUAUCAGAGAUGAGGUUGGAAAAGGAACUAUAAUUGUGUCCAAGAUCUAUACCAGUGUGAAUCCAACUGAUGUUAUUACAAAAGCACUUCCCACUGCAAAAUUUGAAUUCUAUGUGAAUCUAAUGGGCAUCUCGCCCAAACCUAACUAAAUUCAAUAGUGAAUUGUAGUUGAAUGAAGGUUUUUUAGGUGCUGUGUUAUUGAAAGGAUCAACUGAAUCAACUGCAAGGUGGAGAAUGUGAAGAUGUGUGUGUGGACUGAAAUGAAGAAUAUGAAAAAGUUGAGAGCUGUUGUGCAGAUUGACUUCAGUUGAUGGGGUCUAUUAGAUAUUGUCUGCUGACGUGGUAUGAAUUCGUUAUAAUCUGUUAUAACGAGUUCAAUAUAUCAGUAUAUAAUGGAGCUGAUGGAUGGUGCCUGUUUUAGAGUCUUUUUCGUAUUCAUUUGUUCAUCAUUUUGCACAAGAUUUGUUCCAUUGUGAUCUGUGUAAAGUCUUCUGUAAAUCCACUCAUGAUUGGAUUAGUUCUUGAUCAAUAACGAGUAAAUUUUCCUUCAAGUGUGCUGGUCUGUGCCCCUGUUUUUGGUUCUAAUAUUGUUUCUUUGUUUUGGCAUUUCAUUUCGAUUGUGUGCUUGGUGUUUCUACUCAUCAAGAUUUGUGAGUCUUGUUGAGAUUAAAGGCUUAAUAGUCUUAACAAAAGGGAAUGUAGCAUUGCCAUUAAUCAACAUUCACUCUUAUGACUUUAUGACAUUAGAAUUAAAAUCUUUCGUACAUUUAAUUUAUUUGCUUCCAAAUUAAUCUUUAAUAAAUAUUUUUUCACAUUAUCAUCAAUGGACAAAACUCCAACGAAAAUAACUACACGAGAACAAUUUAUGCUAGUAUUAAAUGCCACGAUAUCUAUAACUUUGUCUGGAUCGAUCAUUCUAAUUUUUUCGCAGAACUUUUUGUCAAUGGACAAACACCUCACAGAGCUUGUCAGCCGCAUUAUUACGAUGUAAAAUUGUACCGGAAUAUCUUGAAUUAUUAGUAGAAUAAUGAAGACUAUUUGGGGCAAUAAAAACAAAUAACGCAGAUAAAAAAAUGGCUAAAAUUAUGUAAGUGAGCCCCAAAGUUUUUGCUAUUUCCAGGAAAUCCCAAAUUUGAAUGGACUAGAGGGAGGCACGUAAGAAAUACAUUUUCUUCCUAGACAAUGACAGCUAUGACAUCAAGCCACGGUGGCGUCAGUAUUGAAAUUAAGGUGUAAUUAUUCAGCCAAUGAGCCUUACACAUCAAGAUAAAAGUCAAGAUAAUGAAAAUUUGGCUGUUUCCAUUUGAAGUUAAAAGCAACGUUUCUUUCGUUUUGUGGGCGACUCGACUGAGCACGCCCCAAUAGCUAUAUUUAGGGCGUCAAUUUGAUAUUUGAAUGGACAGGCAAGUAAGAAAUACAUUUCCUUCAUAGACAAUGACAACGAGGACAUCAAGCCACAUCAUUAUAGUUUGUAGCCCAUCUACAUUUAAACGAUUAAUAAACAAGCUUAGGUGUGCCACUGCUAUUAUUAAUUAUCCCCUGAUCAUUAUAGUUUCUGAAACAGUAAAACUAAACGAAAUUGAAUACAUCAACGAGACCGCAAUUAUCACUUGUUUAGUUGCGGUAUUUAACUUAAUUUUAAUAUAAUAUAUUUGUUAGUUAAACUUUUAAUAAUCAAAUAAUUUUGAUUUAAAAAUAAAAUUAUAGAAAUUAUUAAUUAUUAAUUAUUAAAAAUUCACAAUUAAGGGAACGUUCAUCAAACACACAUAGCUAUUGUUUUCUCUAUAUAUUGCAGUGUGUACGAUAUUGAGGGUUGAAGCCCCAAGCAUGCUCUAAAAUCCAGAUAAUAAUUAGAUCCGGGCCAAAUAUUCAUCAUUGUGUCAGCUGAUCAGUCGGUGGACAUCUCUAUUGAAAAUAUCUCUGACAUUUCACUCGACAAACUUAUUAAUAUAAAAAAUCUGUGGUUUUGCCGUCUGAAUAAUGUAGAAAAAUUUGUCUAUGCAUUAAUCUAGAUGUUUGAGGUGAUUUAUACAUCUGUGGUAAAGAUUUAUAGGUUGACUUAGACGUCUGUGGUAUAGAUUUUAUGUAUUUCAUUACAAAAUGCUGGCCGUUAGAACCCUUUCUACAUCUAUUUAUAAGAUUAACGGGUGCCAGCUAUGCCAUUACAAAUUAUCCCCUCAUCAGAUAUUUCGUUAAAAUUCAUUCUGAAACACUAAAACUAAAUAAUCGAAUAUGGCUUUGCGGGUCGAUGAUGCCAGCAGCAAUGAGACUGCAAUUAUCACUUGUUUAGUUUCUGUGCUGGCCGUGGUUUACUUCGCAUGGAAUGUGAAAAAAUCAAGGAAAGCAAAUGCUACACUGCCACCAGGACCUCGCGGCUUGCCUGUAUUCGGAUACCUCCCAUUUCUUGGAACUACUGACUUGCACAAGAAAUUCACGGAAUUAUCCGGAGUUUAUGGUCCGAUCUUCAAGCUUUGGCUUGGAAAUAAAUUAUGUGUAGUGGUGAGCUCACCUUCCCUAAUUAGACAAGUGGUUCGUGAUCAAGAUACAACAUUCGCGAACCGUGACCCACCGAAGGCUGCACUAGUGGUCUCCUAUGGUGGCAAUGAUAUUGCAUGGUCCAAUUACGGUCCCGAAUGGAGAAAGUUGCGCAAAUUUUUUGUGGGCAAGAUGAUGAAUAACGCAAGCCUUGAUGCUUGUUAUGCUCUAAGAAGACAAGAGGUUAAAAAUACUAUCAGGGAUUUGUAUAACAACGACAACAAAAUUGGCAAGCCCAUUGACAUUGGUGAAUUGUCGUUUUCAACAUUGGUAUGUGCUAUACAGAACAUGCUGUGGGGUGAAGCGCUUGAAUUAAAAGAGAAAGGGACCACUAAUCUUAGGGCUGGGCUAAAAUUUAAGCUGGCAGAACUCAUGGUGCUUGCGGGAACACCGAAUAUUUCGGAUGUCUUUCCAAUGCUUUCAUGGCUUGACAUACAAGGUAUAGAGAGGAGAGCAAAGAAGAUUUCACUCUGGCUUGAUAAUGUUAUAAAUUCUACUGUUGAACAGCAUAGAAACAAGGAGUUAACUGUUGAAGGUGAAGAAAGAGCGGGGAAAAAUUUUGAAGGAUCAAGGAACAAGAACUUCUUGCAGUUACUAUUGGAGCUUCAAGAAAAUGAUGACAGUGCUUCCUCAAUUAGCAUGAACCAAUUCAAGGCCGUACUCGCGGUAUGUUAAGCAACUAGCCACGAACAGUUAUACAAGCACAAUUGUAUAUUUGCAUGAGUGAUAUUUUCAACCUUUUUUUUUAAUUAGAAUUUUAUUGUCACCUUUUGGACAGGAUAUAAUUACGGCUGGAACCGACACCACAACUACGAUGGUGGAAUGGACAAUGGCAGAGUUGAUGCAGCAUCCACAAGUAAUGAAGAAAGUUCAGGAAGAAUUAGCUCAAGUUGUGGGCAUGGACAGUUGUGUUGAAGAAUUUCACCUGUCUAGAUUAAUGUAUUUAGAUGCUGUGGUGAAGGAAACAUUUCGUCUGCAUCCUGCAGUGCCUUUAUUACUACCACGUAGGGCAAGCGAGAGUGGCAACAUUGGUGGCUAUACCAUUCCCAAAGAUACAACUCUUAUGUUGAAUGUUUGGGCUAUCCACAGGGACCCUCACCUUUGGGAUAAUCCCUUAGAAUUUCGACCCGAGAGGUUUCUGAAUGUUGGUAUCGAGAGUAAGUUCGAUUACUCAGGUAACAAUUUUCAGUACUUGCCAUUUGGUUCUGGUAGAAGGAUGUGUGCUGGGAUUCCUCUAGCUGAGAGGAUGCUGAUGUUUGUUUUGGCUUCGUUAUUGCACUCAUUCGAGUGGGAAUUGCCAACUGGCACAAAGCUAAACUUAUCAGAAAAAUUUGGGAUUGUCAUUAAGAAAAAAGAGCCUUUGGUUGCUAUUCCAACACCAAGACUAUCCAAUUCAGAGCUCUACCAUUAAGACCAAAUGGUUGUGAUGAUUUUGUUAAUUUCCGAAGAUUUGUAUGUUAUUUCAAGUUCAAUCGUAGUAAAAUAUUUCAAAUAAGAGUCCUCCGUUGCUUUUUUUUUUUUUUUUCAACGGCAUAAUCUGUGGUCAUGCUUGUAUUUGGAGCCACUUUAGAAAAAUUAUGUUUGAAUUACAAUUUAUAAAUAUUACAUUUUAAAAUAUUAUGAGGCUAAAUUUAUACACGUUCAAUAACCCGCUUCAUAUAUAUUUAACACAAUUUAUAUCAUACAUUGUACACCCAUUUAUCAUAAAUUACACUAUUUUGUAUCUCUAAAUAAUAUUACGUAUUGAUAUUAUAAAAUAUAUAUGGAAAAGAGAACAAAGAAGAUUUCUUAUGGUUUGAAAAUAUUAUGAAUUCUGCUGUUGAACAGUAUGGAAACAAGGUCUCUGUUGUUAAAGGUGAAGAAGCAACAGGGAACAAUAUUGAAGGAAGAAAUUUCACAUGUUUAGUUGCUGAAUUUGCCGCUGUAUUCUAUCGGUAGUAAAAAAAUUAGAGUUUUUAUUUUUCUCUAUUAAUGUUAAGUCAAUUUUCUAUAACAAAUUCGGUUGAGUUUAAUUGUGUUACAAUAUAAAUUGAAUGAUAAUAGAAUUUUCAACGAAUAUUUCAAUAUUUCUAUCUCGAUUGUUGAAGUGCCAUUUAUUUGUUAUGCGAUCGAUUUUAAAAUUUAUAAAAAUUAUUUGUUACUAAAUUGCAUCAUAUGCUAAAAUCACCUGAAACCUAAUUCCAUAACUAACCCUUUAUUUUUAGUUCUCAAGAAAUCUUGUAAGAACAAAAUUCUUUUAUAACAAAACUUUUACAACACAUUAAUUUGUAACUCAUUCCUGUGCGAGAAUCACUCUCAAAUUCCUUCAAUUGCUGUUGAACAAUCAUCUGCUUAUCAAAAUUCAAGCAUAAUCUUUUCUUUUUUUUAAUUUCUUCAUCAUUCUUUUGAAAAAAAAAAAUCAGGAUAUGCUGUUAAAAUUUUGAAAUAAAUUAUCUCAAAAUAAUUACUAACCAGAAAAAACAAAGGGGUUUAACUAGGUUAUGCAUACCUUUGAAAAUUAUAUGUUGAUCGAUAAGAAUGAUGAUCACGAUUGAGGAGUUUAAUUAAAAUAUAUAAGAUUUUAAAAUUAAUCAGGGUUAAAUUGUGAAUUUUAGAAAGAGAGGUUUUGUGAGAAUGCUGAAAGGGUGUUAAUAGUUCCACUCUUUUUAAAAGCAACCAUAGUCAUCAUUUUUCCCGAUUUCUUCUUCCCAUCUCCAUCUUAUUUAGAAAUUUCCCAGAGCCUUUGUUUCCCACCUUUCAUUGUUCUUCUUUCUAAUUUAAUACUAUAGGAUUACAAAAAUAAUUACUCACAUUUUAUCAAACACCUCCAUUCUACCAAGGCCUUGUUUUAGUAGUAGGCUUUUAUUAUCUCAAUAAAAUUGAAAAAACAAAUCUCAAUAAUAUUGGAAAAAAAAAACCUACCCAUAUUUGUAACUUUAAUUUAUUAUUCUCCAUAGACCUACUUUUUAGCUUUGAAUUUUGUUGGAGCCAUAUAUAAACAGAAUAUGUUGAAUCAGCACCAAAAAAAAAAAAAAAAAACUAAUUAUAUAAUUUCUGUUCCCAAGGACAUGACUGAUUGAUUUUCAAGAAGUUUUGUUUGGCUGGCUACUUAGGUUUAAAUCUUGGUGGAGAUUAGGGGUUAAGAAAUAAAUUUGGACUUUGCACACCCCUUUAACUUUUAAAAAGAAAUGAAAAAAACUAAUUAAUUAAUCUUUAUUUUAUUUAUUAAAUAUCAUAAUCCUAUGCGUAUUUUAUUUGUUAUCUUUCUAUUUAAAAGACAGGAGGGCAGAUAAAACUGAAAUAAAUUUUUAGCCCUAUCUCCAUCUUUCAAGUUCCAUAGUUAGGUGACCAGGUAAAGAAAAUUAAUUGAAAGCUACUCCAUCAAAUUAAAAAAUUUUAUUUAUUUAAUUUGUGGAGAUGUAGAAAAUCAAACCCCAUGCCUUUUCGCGUGGAAAAGUGUCAACCUGGUCUAGCUAUGUUGCAAAAGUGAACAUAUUUUAAUACAUGACUAUCAUCCUUUAUCCUAAAUACUACUAUAACUAAUAACAUACAAUUGAAAUAAUUAAUGUUAACACUUGGCUAUAAAUAAAGGUUUUGUGCUUGAAUCUUCACGCAUGACCUUCAUUCCUUUAUUUACUUUGCUAACACAGAUUUUGAGGCAUUAAAACUAAAUAAUAAUUGACUUUGUGGGCCGAGGAUGCCAGCAACAAGGAGACCACAAUUAUCACUUGUUAAGUUACUCUAAUUGCCGUUGUCUUAUAUUCAUAGAAUAUUAGUAAUAAGAUUAUUGUAGAAUUUUUUUAUAUUAAAAUUAAGUCAAUUUGUUAUAACAAAUUUAGUUGAGUUUAAUCGUGUUACCACAUAAAUUGAAUAAUAAUAAAAUUCUCGACAAAUAUUUCAAUAUUUUUAUCCCAAGCGUUGGAGUGGCAUUUAUUUGUUAUACGAUCAAUUUUAGAAUUUAUAAAAUUAUUCGUUACUGAAUUGCACCAUAUGCUGCAUGACCUGAAACUUAAUAAACGGAACGUAGCGUUGGCACCGUUACUCAACAUACUGUUACGACUUUGUGACAUUAGAAUUAAAAUCUUUUGCACAUUUAAUUUGUUUACUUCCAAAUUAAUAUUUAACAAAAUAUUUUUUCACAUUAUCAAUGGACAAAACUCCAACGAAAAUAACUACACAAGAAAAAUGUAUGCUAGUAUUGUGUGCCAUAUCAUCUGUAAUUUUGUCAGGAUCGAUCAUUCUAAUUUUUAAGCAGAACUUUUUAUCAAUGGACAAACACCUCACACAGCUUGUCAGAGGCAUUAUUAUGAUGGAAAACUGUAAUGGUAUAUCUUGAAUUAUUGGUAGAAUAGUUCUUUGGAGCAAUAAAAACAGAUAAGACAGAUGAGAAAAUUGUCAAUACCCCACCGCAAAAGCAAAAGAAAAAAAGGAAAGGAGACAAAAGAGGAAGAAGAAAAAGAAAAAAGAACGAAGAAAAAAAUGGUGCCGCGCGGUAUAGGCAAGAAGAAAAAAUAAUAAUAAAAUAAUAAAAUAAUAGUGCACAACAGUCAUUUGAUUGCUAUAAAUAAAGGGGCAUUUCCCUCAUUUUAUUCAUCGAAUUCUUCAGUUCCUAAGCGAUUUAAGAGUCUAGUGAUUUGAGAGUUUGGGUAUAGUAUAGUUUUGAGUAGUGAGUUAAAAUAUUACAAUACUUAUAACUUAUUUUUACUAAUAAAAUAUUUUUCUUCUAUCUUCACCCGUGGACGUAGGGUCAAAGCCGAAUCACAUAAUUUUUAGUAUCCCUAUGUGAUUAUGUAUCUCAUUAUUUUUCAAUUUUACUUUAGUUACGUGUCUGCUACAUCCUUCAAUUUACUAACAAAAAUGGCCAAAAUUAUAUAAGUGACCCAAAUUUUUUUGCUAUUUCCAAGAAAUCUCCAAUCUGAAUGGGCCAGACCAGAGGGAGGCAAGUUAGAAAUACGUUUCCUUCAUAGACAAUAACAGCGAUGAGUCGAUGACAUCGAGCCACGUCGGUAUCAAUAUUGAAUUAAAGGUGCAAUUAUUCAGCCAAUGAGCCUUACACAUCAAGAUAAAAGUCAAGAAAAUGAAUAUUUAUCCUAAUUAAAACACUUUCUGGCUGCAUUUAGUUGUUUCCAUUUGAAGUUAAAAGCAACGUUUCUUUCGUUUUGUGGGCAACUCGACUCAGUUAGCUGGCUUCUAGUGCUAGUAAGUGAAAAUAGAAGGCUAAUGAUUUAUUUGUUAUCUUUUGAUAAAAUUAUUAAAGAUAUAAUAGAUUUUUCAUGAUACAAAUAAAAAAUCACAUCAACAUAGCUUCCAAAGUACAACAGCUAAUGUUUACCAAACACUUUGUUGUAGCUUUUAAGCUACAGCUGCCCAACUUUAAUUUCAAAUGCACCCUUAAUAGGUUGAUUGAAUUUGUGGGAUAUAGAUUCCACAUAUCGUAUGACCUAGUAACUAUACAAGUGGUUCGUGAUCAAGACACAACAUUUGCUUCCGGCCCGGUGACCCAGCAAUCGCUGCAUUGGUCGCCACCUAUGGUGCCAACGAUAUUGCAUGGUCCAAUUGUGGCCUUGAAUGGAAAAAGUUGAGCAAAUUAUUUGUGGACACGAUGAUAAGUAACGCAAGCCUUGAUGCUAGUUAUGGUCCAAGAAAACAAGAGAUAUGCAUAACAACAAAAAGGAAAAAAAAAAAAAAAAAAAAAAAGGCAUUUGCAAGCCCAUUGAUAUUGGUGAAUUGUCGAUUUCAACUUUGGCAUGUGUAAUCCAGAGCCUGCGCGCUGUGGUGUGGCGCUGGCACGCUUGCAUUGACGAGGGGACAAGUCUUGGGGCUGAGCUAACAUUUAAGCUCGCAGAACUCAUGGUGCUAAUGGGAACACCAAAUAUUUUUUGACAUAUUUUGGUGCUUUCAUGGUUUAAUUCAAGGUAUAGAAAGGAGUGUUGAGAAUGUCAAAUAAAACGGUAUUGAAUGGAAGUUGUUAAAGACACGAUCCGCACCGAACGACAACAGCACGGUUGCUAAAAAUCCUUCCGUAAUAGGCAUAUCUAAUUUUUGAAAAAGUGUAACCUCUACAUUUAUAAAUAUACUCAAUGUAUAAUGUUUUACUUAAGAAAUGAAAAACUUGUUUGUUCAAGGAGAAUAAAGAAAAAUUUUCUAUGAUUUUUCUAUGGUUUGAACAAAGAAGGUUUUAACGAGUAUUAUAGACCUCGAUUGAAUGUUCGAAUGUAUAAUAAAAGAGAAACUGUCACAUAAAUGACAAAGAUACUUGAAAAAAAAAAAAAAGGGCAGCAAUAGAGAAUUAGAUCCGACUGUACAAAUAACUAGUUAAUUCAUCGAUACAUCAUUUUCUUGCUAGAAAAUGACAAUUAUGACAGCAAGCCACGAUAGUGUCAAUAUUGAAAUUGAUUUGCAAUUAUUCAGCCUAUGAGCCUUACACGUCAAGAUAAAAGUCAAGAAAAUGAAAGUUAAUAUCAAUUAAAACACUUCCAUUUCUAUGUGAAGUUAAAAAACAACGUUUCUUUUGUUUUGUGGGGGAUUCAACUGAGCACGCGCCACUAGCUAGCUGGCUUCUAGUUCUAGCAUAUGAAAACAGAAUUCUAAAGAUUUCACUUUCACCUUUUUUCUUUUUUUGGGGUUUUGAAUCAAAGUCAAGGUCGCACUGAAUAAUAUGUAAAAUUUGAAAAAGAAGAAUUAAUAGAGAACAAAGUUUUGUUUUAAAUUCACAUGGUGUGCAUACAAUUCAACAAACACUUCCUAUAAUAAAUCUGGAGUUGUAUCCCACGUUGAACAAUAAAGGAAAGUCACCUAAAUAUACAUGUAGGAUAAGUUACUUUAUUUAGUAAGUUUGUAUUUUCUUCUUUCUUCUAGUUUACAUAUAAAUUUGAUUAGAUAACUUAACACAUAUUUUAAUACUUGAUCAGAAGCCCGACGUACAGGUGGAUCUAGAAACUUGAUUUCUAAGAGUAAUACUAUAAUAAAAAAAUAAUGAUUCAUAGAACCAAUAUCAAAAUUUGUUUACAAGAUUGCCCCCACUCAAAGGUAAUUUUCAUAGAAAUUAAUAGGAAAUUUAAUUGUUAGUGGGGUCAAAUUGCCCCCACACUCUGAAUGUAGAUCCACGCCCGACCCUGAGUCAAGUAUAUUUUGCCACAUAUACUCUGAAUGUCGGCAGGAAAAAUCUUCCACUUUAGUUAAAAAUUUUCACUUAAAAAAUAUUUAUGUUAAUAAAGUUCGUAAAGGAAAUGAGUUUAAUUAAUGAAUAUUAUAGGAGAAAUUAAAGGAAAUGAGUUUAAUUAAAGAAUAUUAUAGGAGAAAUUCUAUUGUUCGGCUUUUAAUAAAUUAAUUAAUAGGUUUAAAAGAUUAAUAUACAUCAAAAUAUUAUUAGUUGGUGGGGGUUCCACAUCGGACUAAUACGUGUCACCUUACUUGUGAGAUUAAGACAAUCGACUUAGACUAUUUAAAUAUGUUUGAAGCUUAGAUGGCACCGCUUCAAUUUGCAUUACUGAAUGUCAUUCUUUAUCCUAAUUACUACCGUAAUUGAUAACAUGCAAUUGAAGUAACUAAUAUUAGCACUUGGCUAUAAAUGAACUAAAGGCCGUGCAAUUGAAUCUUUACUUGAUCACUUCACUCCUUUAUUUUGCUAACACAGAUUUUGAGAUAUUAAAACGAAAUAAUAAUUGAAUCUGGCUUUGUGGGUCGAUGAUGCUAGCAAAAACGAGACCACAAUUAUCACUUGUUUAUUUGCUGUAUUUGACGUUGUUUCAUAUUGGUAGUAAUAGGGUCAGUUUUUAAUCUUUUUAUAUUAAAGUUAAGUCAAUUUGUUAUCAAAAAAAAAAAUUGGUUGAGUUUAAUUAUAUUGCUAUGUACAUUAAAUAAUUAUAAUAUUCUUGAGGGAAAAAGACACCUAGAACCUCAAGGUUUGGGGAAAUGGUCACAAAGACUCCUAAGUUUUAAAAAAGGAACACUAAGAUCUUUUUUUACCCAUAAUACCCUUUGACUAGAGUAAUUAAAAAAUUGACUUUAAAGGUUUUUAAAUAAUUCUAAUUUAAUAUAAAUCAUAUAAUCUAUCUAGUAAACUAAUAAUAUUAAAUUAUUUUUUAUAUUUAAAAUAAUGUUAAAUUUUAAAUUAUUAUAUUUAUAAAAUUAUAAAGAUUUUAAAUAAAUAUUUGGAUUGAAUAUAUUUUACAAUUAAAAGUCUUCCUAUUAAUAAUAUUAAAAUUUAAUUUUACAAAAUAUAUAUUCAAAAUAUUUUUAAUUUUAAUUUAUUUAUUUUAAUAUUAUGUUUCUACCUAUUAUUAAAAAUUACUUUAAUAUAAUAAAAUAGGUCUAAUAGAUUGAAAAAUAUGAAAAUAUUUUUAAAAUUUUAAAUUAUUUUGAAAUGUAUAUAUUAUUACAUUUAUUUCAAUGUCAUAUUUUCAUUUAUUAUAAAAUUUUGGGGUUAUUUUUUUGGGAAUUUAUAGAGUCAAAGAGCAUUAUAAUUUAAUCCAUGCACAAUAUCUAUAAUUAUAUCGGUUGUCGGCUGAUUUCGUGGAGGGGGCGGCAGUUCAAAAUUUUUACGUGCAUGUUGGAUGGACGUCUCUAUUAAAGGAGAGCCACCACUUGCAUGGUAAUUUUUUUAAAUAAAUAUAUACAUUUCAAAACAUUAUUUUCUUGUUGUAUAGUUAACAUGUCACCUUAGAUGUAUUUUAGAGCUUCUCCUAUUAAAGAUAAUCUCAUGCAGUGUUACAGAGUAUGGUAAUAUGGUAUAGAUGAGAGCAUCUGAUUAAAUGAAGCAGCUGGUAAUGCUUACGUGUGUGAGUUAGUUAUCCAGCUCAGCAGCAAAGCAAACGAAAUGAAUUGCAUGCAUAUUAGAUCCAACAAACUGGUAAACUCUAGAUUCUUCUUUCAUUUAGUAUAAAUACCAAGUUGUUAUCAUUUGCUAAAUAUAUAAUAAGAUGAUCAUUUUCAGAUCUUUCCUUUAUAAUUUUCUAUAACUUUCUCGUUAGUUUCUCUUGAACCAAACACUUUGUACGAACUCUUUCGUGCAGUGAUACUUCUCGUGAUCUAAUCAUUAGUAGAAUCUAUAAUUUCGCUACUGUAAUAAAAUCUGUCACUACCCUAUAUGAAUGUAGAUAUUUGACGCGAUUUGUAAUUGCUUCCGACAGGAAAACAGCAAUAGUUUUAUUGAAAUUUGUGGUAUAGAUUCCACGAAUCUUAUGACAGAAUACUGACCACUCCAACCCUAUCCGCAUUUACACGAUUAAUACACAAGCUUAGAUGUGACAAUGCAUUUGUCACUCAUUCAAAUUCAUCCUGAAACACUAUACACUAAAUAAUCGAAUAUGGCUUCGUGGGUCGAUGAUGCUAGCAGCAACGAGACUGCAAUUAUCACUUGUUUUGUUGCUGUACUUGUCGUGGUCUAUUUCGCAUGGAAUGUAAACAAAUCAAGUAAAGCAAAUGCUAAAUUGCCACCAGGACCUCGGGGCUUGCCAGUAGUCCGAUACCUCCCAUUUCUUGGAACUACUGACUUACACAAGACAUUCACGGAGUUAUCUGGAGUUUAUGGUCCGAUCUUCAAGAUUUGGCUUGGGAAUAAAUUGUGUGUAGUGGUGACCUCGCCUACCCUAGUUAAACAAGUGGUCCGUGAUCAAGAUAUAACAUUCUCAAACCGCGACCCACCGAUCGCUGGAACUGUGACCACCUACGGUGGCAAUGAUAUUGCACUUUCCAAUUACGGUCCCGAAUGGAAAAAGUUGCGAAAAUUAUUUGUGAGCAAGAUGAUGAGUAAUGAGACCCUUGAUGCUUGUUAUGCUCUAAGAAAACAAGAGGUUAAAAAUACUAUCAGGGAUUUGUAUAACAACAAUAAGGAUAAUAUUGGCAAUGGCAAUGGCAAGCCCAUUGACGUUGGUGAAUUGUCGAUUUCAACUUUGGUACGUGUUAUGCAGAACAUGCUGUGGGGUCAAGCAUUGGAAACAAGAGAGAAAGAGAUUACUAAUCUCGGGGCUAAUCUUGCAGAACUCAUGGUGCUACUGGGAACACCAAAUAUUUCGGAUAUUUUUCCAGUGCUUUCAUGGCUUGACAUGCAAGGUAUAGAGAGAAGAGCUAAGAAGAUUUCUCUAUGGUUUGAAAAUAUUAUCAAUUCUGGUGUUGAACAGUAUAGAAACAAGUUCUCUGUUGUUAAAGGUGAAGAAGCUGCAGCACGAAAAAAUAUUGAACGAUCAAGAAAUAAGGACUUCUUGCAGUUGCUGUUGGAGCUUCAGGAAAAUGAAGAUAGUGCUUCAUCUAUUAGCAUGAACCAACUAAAGGCCGUGCUCGUGGUAUGUUAAGCAACUAGACACAAAAAGUUGUAAAAGCACAGCGAUAUAUUUGCGCGAGGCCCCGAGUGAUGUUUUGCCUCGAGAACUCUCAAUUUUAUCUUACGGUAAAAAAUGUUUUUCAACUUUUUUUUUUAAUUAGAAUUUUAUUGCAAUUUAUUUAACAGGACAUAAUUGUGGCCGGAACCGACACCACAACUACGAUGGUGGAAUGGACAAUGGCAGAGUUGAUGCAACAUCCACAAGUAAUGAAGAAAGUUCAAGAAGAAUUCGCUCAAGCUGUGGGCAUGGACAGUUGUGUUGAAGAAUAUCACUUGCCUAAAUUAAAGUAUUUAGAUGCUGUGGUGAAAGAAACAUUUCGUUUGCAUCCUGCGUUGCCCUUAUUGGUACCUCGCACGGCAAGCAAGAAUAGCAACAUUGGUGGCUAUACCAUUCCCAACGACACUAAUCUUAUGUUGAAUGUUUGGGCUAUCCACAGGGACCCUCAACUUUGGGAUAAUCCCUUAGAAUUUCGACCUGAGAGGUUCUUGAAUGAUGGUAUCAUAAGCAAUUUCAAUUACUCGGGUAACAAUUUUCAGUACUUGCCAUUUGGUUCUGGUAGAAGGAUGUGCGCUGGGAUUGCUCUAGCUGAGAGGAUGUUGAUGCUUGUUCUGGCUUCGUUGUUGCACUUGUUUGAGUGGAAAUUGCCCUCGGGCACAAAGCUAGACUUAUCUGAAAAGUAUGGGAUUGUCAUGCGGAAAAAAGAGCCUCUAAUUGCUAUUCCAACACCAAGGCUACCAAAUUCAGAUCUCUACCAGUAAGAUCAAAAUGGUUUUGAUAAUAUUAUUUCCCAUUGUAUUGGAUUUGAAGUUCAAUCAUAAUAAAAUAUUUUAAUAAAAUGUCCUCGGUUGCUAAUUUUUCAAUAGUAUAAUCUGCACCUGUCUUUUAUAGCAAUUUGGUCUAAUUUAUUUUUGAAUUAAAAUCCAUAAAUAUUUAUAUUUUUUUAAUUAUAUUAGGAAUUAUGUGGGGUGUAUGGUCUGAUCUUCGAGCUAUGCCUUGAAAACAAAUUAUGCAUAGUCGUGCACACGCUUUCCCUAAUUAAGUUUGUGGUUCGUGCUCAAGGCACAGCAUUCACCCCCCGCGACCCAACAAUCGCUACAUUGUUCCCCACCUAAAGUGCCAACAUAUUGCAUAAGUAACGCAAAAUAUGGUCCCCAAUGGAAAACGUUGCGCAAAUUAUUUCUGGGCAAGAUGAUAAGUAACGCAAGCCUUGAUGCUUGUUAUGGUCUAAGAAAACAAGAGGUUAAAAAUACUAUCAGAGACAUAUAUAAAACAACAACAGAAAAAAUUGGCAUUAUCAUCGAUAAUGGUGAGUUGUGGAUUUCAACUUUGGUAUGUUUAAUUCAGAACCCGCAGUGGGGUGGCGCUAGCACGCCUGCGUUAGGAGACGAGGGGACCAAUCUUGGGGCCGAGCUAAAAUAUAGGCUUGUAGAGCUCAUGCUGCUAAUGGUAAUGGGAACACCUACUAUUUCGGAUACUUUUCCGAUGCUGGUUUAAUUCAUGGUUUAGAAAGGAGAACAAAGAAGAUUUUUCGAUGCUUUGAAAAUAUUAUAAUUUUUAUAAAAUCUCUUAUUGAUAACUAAACAACUAAAAUUUCUGUAAAGUUUUUGUGGACUUUUGAUCUCCUAUGGUGCCAAUAUUUUCGACUAAUUUUUUCCUUCAAUUAAUGAUGUUGGUUGAGAAAGACUAUUUUUCUUGCAAUAAUAUAGUAUUCGUGGUCCUAUUAGGGUUCCGAAUGGAGAAAGUUGCACUAAGUUUUUUGAGUACCAAAUGAUGAGUAAUGUACGUAAGCCUUGAUGGUAGUUAUGGUCUAAGAAAACAAGAGGUUAAAAAUACUAUCUGGGAUUUGUACAACAAUAACAAAAUUGGCAAGCCCAUUGACAUUGGUGAAUUGUCAGUUUCAACCUUGGUAAGUGUUUUCAGAACAUGCUGUGGGGUGAAGCGCUUGGAAUAAGAAAGAAACGGAUGACGAAUAUUGGGGCUGAGCUUAGAUUUAAACUUGCAGAACUCAUGGUGCUGUCAGGAACACCGAAUAUUUCGGAUAUCUUUCCAGUGCUUUCAUGGUUUGAUAUACAAGGUUUUGAGAGAAUAGCAAAGAAGAUUUCUCUAUGGUUUUAAAAUAUUAUCAAUUCUACUGUUGAACGCUAUAGAAACAAGGUCUCAGUUGUUAAAAGUGAAGAAGAAGACGCAGCAGCAGCAGCAGCAGGGAACAACAUUGAAGGAAGGAAUAAGGACCUGGUGCAGUUACUCUUGGAGCUUCAAGGUAAAGAAGAAAAUGCUUCAUCAAUUAACAUGACGCAAUUUAAGAGCUUGCUCGUGGUAUGUUUGCGCAACUAGCCACAGACAGUUACAGAAACUGAGUUUGGCAGAUUACGACCGUUUCUGGUGAUUAUAUAACUAUUUGUGGCUGUUUUUUGUUUUUUUUUUCUUUUAAUUGGAAUUUUAUUGUAAAUUUCUUAACAGGAUAUAAUUUAGGGUGGAACCAACACCACAACUAUAAUGGUGGAAUGGACAAUGGCAUAAUUGAUACAGCAUCCACAAGUAAUGGAGAAUGUAAAGGUAGAACUAAGUCGGGCCGUGGCCAUUGACAGCCAUGUUGAAGAAUUUCACCUACCUAAGUUAAAAUAUUUAGAUGUUGUGGUGAAAGAAACAUUCCGCACGAUAAUAUAAUAUAUGAAUCAUAUAUCCUCUAUUGGUUUUUUGCUCCUUUUUUUUUCAAUAGCUUAAUCUAUCAUUAAAAUCUUCUGAAAUUCUAAAUUAAUAUACAUUCAACCUAGAGUUCAACCCAAAGUUUUAUUGAGCAUUAAAAAAAAAAAUUCUACGACUAAAAAUUUUACAGAGUAUAAAUUAAAAAUUAUGCGCCUACUAACAGACAAAAAACAAUUGAUACACAUUCACCAAUCAAAGGCAAACAAGAGAUUAUUAACAAUAACUUAAUAAUAAAAUUAUAAGGAAUCAAAUAGAAAUGGUACCUAGAAACACAUCACGCCAUUUAAUCAAUCACUUACCCAUAAAAUCCAAACUUAUAAACUAUUAAGGGGGGGAAAUGGAUACCUUUGGGUUUCAUUAAAUCAAAAUUACAACACCAUUAAAUACUCAAAAAUGAAAAAAAAAAAAUCAUACCCAAUAAAAGAGAAAAAAAUAACCCACAAAAAAAAUCAUCAAGAAAAUAAAUUUGAGACUAAGAGAAGAUAUUAAUUAACGCCUGGGUUGCAUUGGAACCACGGCUUUGGCUUCCAUUUUUCAAUUCUUGGUCACAAGUGAUUUCUUGUUUGUUUGCAAUGAUGACGGUUGAUUAAUGAAGCUCUAUUAACAAUGAAUGAAUCAAAAAACUUGAGCCUUGAAAAGACUAACGGUCAUAUUUUUCAACUCCGAAUUAGUGGCGUUUGAUGAGUCCUUGCCAAAACAAUCACUCGGCAGAUAACGAUCAUUUUUCAACCAGCAAAACUCAUUCAUUGUUUUUCACCUUAGUGAAGAUUUAAAAAUUGUUUCAAAAUAGGAUUCUUAAAAAAAUAAUAAUAAAAUGAUAUUUAACUUAAUUCUAACUUAGGAAAACAAAAUAUCUACACUCCCAAAGUUUGGAGAAAUGGUCAUUAAUAUCCCCAACUUUCCAAAAAGAGACACCAAGAACCCUUUUAACCAUAAUACUAUUUACUUCUAUUAUCCCAAAAAACAAUUGACUCUAAUAUUUUAUAAUAAAUAAAAAUAUAACAUUAAAAUAAAUGUAAUAGUAUAUACAUUUUAAAAUAGUUUCAAUAUUUAAAAAGCAUUUUAAUAUUUUUAAAUUCUAUUUUAUAUAUAUUGAUUAUUUUAAAGUAAAUUUUAUAAUAAAUAGAAUCAUAAUAUUAAAAUAAAUGCAUUAAAAUUUAAAUUAUUUUGAAUAUUAUGUAAAAUAAUAAUUUUAACAUUAUUAGUAUAUGAGAAUUUUUUUAAUUGUAGAAUGCAUUUAAUGCAAAUAUUUAUUUAAAAUCUCUACAAUAAAUAAAAAUAUACUAUUAAAACAAAACUCUACAAUACAUACAUACAUACAUAUACAUUGGCCUGGUAUUUUUAUUUUUCAUUUUUAAACUUAUUAAAUCCUCUAACUAUCAUUUGAUUUUUUUUUUUUUUCAAUGAUCAAGAGGUCAUUGCCGGAUAAAUGAUUAAAAUCAACUAGUUCUACAAGAAUAUCUCUUUUUAAAGGAAGAUGAUUCUCUCUCUCGAAAUUUUUUUAUCUCGUGCUACAAACUAAAAACUUAUGCCACUUCAUUAACCACAAAGAUCUUUGAGGAAAUGAUGCUUCCCUCCCCCCCCCCCCCCCCCCCCCUCCCACAAAAAAAAAAAAGAGUCCUUCCAUAUUGUGUGAAGGCUAAUAUAUCGAUGAAUCUAGAUUUCUUUAAAUUUUUUGUUUUACUCAAUUCGAGAUAAUAAUUCAAUCCAUGCAAAUAUCUAUCAUUGUAUGAGCUGACCAGUUAAUAGGUUGAUUGAAUAUAUGUGGUAAAGAUUCCACGUAUCUCAUGACAGAAUGCUGACCACUGGAACCCUAUCUACUUUUACGCGAUUAAUUCACGAGCUUAGGCACAACAAUUGCAAUACAAAUUAUCCCCUCAUCGUAUAUUUCGUUAAAAUUCAUUCUGAAGCAGUAAAACUAAACAAUCGAAUAUGGCUUUGCGGGUCGAUGAUGCCAGCAGCAAUGAGAGUGCAAUUAUCACUUGUUUAGUUUCUGUGCUUGCCGUGGCUUAUUUCGCAUGGAAUGUGAAAAAAUCAAGGAAAGCAAAUGCUAAACUGCCACCAGGAACUCGCGGCUUGCCUGUAGUCGGAUACCUCCCAUUUCUCGGGACUACUGACUUGCACAAGAAAUUCACGGAAUUUAUUUUACUAUUAUAUUUAUAUUCAAAAUAAUUUUAAUUAGCUUUUAAAAUGAAUGAUUUUAGGAAAUUAUAAAUAAAGGUAACUAAGAAUUCUCUUAAUGCAAUAUAUUAUUAAUUAGUUUAAAAAUACAAAUUUAUUAAUUAGAGAAAUUAUUAGUGAAUUUAAAUUAAUGAUCUUAAUGAUUUGUUUGUACGAUUGCCCCCAAUCAAAGGUAAUUUUCCUAAAAAUUAUUAGGAAAUUAGAGAAAUUUAAUUUUUUUUAGUGGGUUCAAUUGCCCACACACCCCGACUGAAGCAUUUUUUACAAUAUGUACUCCGUUUGUCGGCAGGAAAAUAAAGGUCUUGACACAUGAUCACUUCAUUCCUUUAUUUACUUUGCGAACGCAGAUUUUGAGGUAUUAAAACAAAUAAUAAUUGAAUAUGACUUUGUGGGUCGACGACGCCAGCAACGAGGAGACCGCCAAUUAUCACAUUUUAAGUUUGCUGUAAUUGCCAUUGUUUUAUAUUAGUAGAAUAUUAGUGAUAAGAUAAUUGUAGAGUUUUCAUUUUUUUAAUAUUAAAAUCAAGUCAAUUUAUUAUAAUAAAUUUAGUUGAAUUUAAUCGUAUUACCACAUAAAUUGAAUAAUAAUAGAAUUCUCCACAAAUAUUUCAAUAUUUUAAUCUCAAGCAUUGGAGUGGCAUUUAUUUGUUAUGCGGUCGAUUUUAGAAUUUUUAAAAUUAUUCGUUACUGAAUUGCACCAUAUGCUGCAUCACCUGGAACUUACUAAACGGAACGUAGCGUUGGCACCGUUACCAACAUUCACUGUUACGACUUUGUGACAUUAGAAUUAAAAUCUUUUCCACAUCUAAUUUGUUUACUUCCAAAUUAAUAUUUAACAAAAUAUUUUUUCACAUUAUCAAUGGACAAAACUCCAACGAAAAUAACUAUACAAGAAAAAUGUAUGCUAGAAUUGUAUGCCAUAUCAUCUGUAAUUUUGUCAGGAUCGAUCAUUCUAAUUUUGAAGCAGAACUUUUUAUCAAUGGACAAACACCUCACACAGCUUGUCAGAGGCAUUAUUAUGAUGUAAGAUUGUAAUGGUAUAUCUUGAAUUAUUGGUAGAAUAGUGAAUAACUAUUUGGAGCAAUAAAAACAAAUAAGACAGAUGAGAAAAUGGCUAAAAUUAUAUAAGUGACCCAAAUUGUUUUGCUAUUUCCAAGAAAUCCCCAAUCUGAAUGGACCAGCCAGAGGGAGGCAAGUUAGAAAUAUGUUUCCUUCAUAGACAAUAACAACGAUGAGUCGAUGACAUCAAGCCACGUCGGUAUCAAUAUUGAAAUAAAGGUGCAAUUAUUCAGCCAAUGAGCCUUACACAUCGAGAUAAAAGUCAAGAAAAUGAAAAUUUAUCCCAAUUAAAACACUUUCUGGCUGCAUUUAGCUGUUUCCAUUUGAAGUUAAAAACAACGUUUCUUUCGUUUUGUGGGCGACUCGACUGAGCUAGCUGGCUUCUAGUGCUGGUAAGUGAAAAUAGAAGGCUAAUGAUUUCACUUUCACAUUUUUCUUUUCCUUUUUUGGGAAUCAAAGUCAAGGUCAAGAAGAAUAAAUGGAGAAUUCGGAAAAAUGGGUGCAUAAUGUGAUCCAUUCAUGAAGAAGAGUACGUGAGCGUCGGGCAACAGUAUUUUUACCUAUUAAGCUCCAGUUUAAUUUUGUUGUAGGAAAACAAAAUUUUGUUUUCAAUUCACAUCGUGUGCAUCCAAUUCAACAAACACUUUGUAAUAAUUAAUGUUGAGUUGUAUCCUACGUUAAGGAGAGUUACUUAAAUUUAUAAAUAGGAUAAAUUACUCUAUUUAAUAAGUUAAUGUUUUCUUCUUUCUUCUAGAUUACAUAUAAAUUUAGUCAGAUAACCUAACACAUAUUUUAAUACUCGAUCAGAAGCCCUAAGCAGUGGUGGAUCCAAUAAAUUGAUUUAUAUGGUGUAAUAAUGUAAUAAAAAAAUGGUGAUUCAUAAAAUUGACCCAAUAUCAAAAUUUGUUUGCAAGAUUACUCCCCACUCAAAGGUAAUUUUCCUAAAAAUUAAUAGGAAAUUUAAUUGUCAUUGGGAUCAAAUUGCCCCCACACUCUUGAAUGUAGAUCCUCCCCUGGCCUUGAGUCAAGUAUUUUUUCCAAUAUAUACUCCGAAUGUCGGCAGGAACAACCUUCCACUUUAAUUUAAAAUUUUUACUUGAAAAAUUAAUUAAUGUUAAUAAAGUUCGUAAGAGAAAUGAGUUUAAUAAAAGAAAAUUAUAGGAGAAAUUCUAAUGUUUGUCUUUUAAUAAAUUAGUUUAUAAGUUUAAAAAGUUAACAUAUAUCAAAAUAUUAUUGAUUGGUGGUGGUUUCACGUCAGAUUAAGACGUGACACUUUACUUGUGAGACUGAGACAAUCAGCUUAGACUACUUCAAUAGGUUUGAAGCGUAGGCGGCACCCAUUCAAUUUGCACCAAUGUCUAUCAUUCUUUGUCCUAAUUACUACGAUAAUUAAUAACAUGCAAUUGAAAUUAUUAAUGUUAGUACUUGCCUAUAAAUAAAGGUAUUGUACUUGAAUCUUCAUAGAUGAUCACUUCAUUCCUUUAUUUACUUUGGUAACACAGAUUUUGAGAGACAUUAAAACUAAAGAAUAAUUGAAUAUGGCUUUGUGGGUUGAUGAUGCCAGCUCCAACGUGAGUGCAAUUAUCGCAUGUUUAAUUGCUCUAUUAGCCGUGGUCUAUUUCGUGUGGACAAGGAAAACAAAUGCUAAACUUCCACCAGGACCUCGCGGCUUGCCUGUAAUCGGAUACCUCCCUUUUCUCGGAACUACUGACUUGCACAAGACAUUCACGGAAUUAGCUGGUGUGUAUGGUCCAAUCUUCAAGCUCUGGCUUGGCAACAAAUUGUGUGUAGUGGUGAGCUCGCCUUCCCUAGUUAAACAAGUGGUUCGUGAUCAAGAUAUAACAUUCGCUAACCGCGACCCACCGAUCGCUGGACUCGUGGCCUCCUUUGGUGGCAAUGAUAUUUUAUUUUCCAAUUAUGGUCCUGAAUGGAGAAAGUUGCGCAAAUUAUUUGUGGGCAAGUUGAUGAGUAACGCAAGUCUUGACGCUUGUUAUGCUCUAAGAAAACAAGAGGUUAAAAAUAUAAUCAGGGAUUUGUAUAAUAACAACAAAACUGGCAAGCCCAUAGAUGUUGGUGAGUUGUCGAUCUCAACUUUUGUAUGUGUUAUACAGAACAUGCUAUGGGGUGAAGCUCUUGAAUUAAGAGAGAAAGGGAUCAGUAACCUUGGGGCUGAGCUAAAGUUUAAGCUAGCAGAACUCGUGGUGCUAAUGGGAACACCGAAUAUUUCGGAUAUCAUUCCGUGCUUUCAUGGCUUGAUAUACAAGGUAUAGAGAAGAGAACAAAGAAGAUUUCUCUAUGGUUUGCACAAGCACAGCUGUAUUAGUUAUGUGUUUUAACUUUAUUUUAAUUAGACUUUUAUUGUUAUCGUUUUAACAGGACAUAAUUUCUGGUGGAAACGACACAACAACUACAACGGUGGAAUGGACAAUGACAGAGUUGAUGCACAAUCCACGAGUAAUGAAGAAGGUUCAAGAGGAAUUAGCUCAAGUUGUGGCCAUGGACAGCUGUGUUGAAGAAUUUCACUUGCCCAAAUUAAAGUACUUAGAUGCUGUGGUGAAAGAAACAUUUCGGCUGCAUUCUGUGCCCUAUUUAGUACCACGUAGGGCAAGCCAAAGUAGCAGCAUUGGUGGCUAUACUGUUCCUAAAGAUACAACGAUUAUAUUGAAUGUUUGGGCAAUCCACAGAGAUCCUCAAAUUUGGGAUAACCCCUUAGAAUUUGGACCAGAGAAGUUUUUGAAUGAUGGUAUUGCGAGCAAAUUUGAUUACUCGGGUAACAAUUUUCAGUACUUGCCGUUUGGUUCUGGCAGAAGGAUGUGUGCAGGGAUUGCUCUGGCAGAGAGGAUGCUGAUGUUUGUUCUGGCUUCACUGCUGCACUCAUUUGAUUGGAAAUUACAGGCAGGCACAAAGCUAGACUUAUCUGAAAAGUUUGGGAUUUUGAUUAAGAAAAAGGAGCCUUAGGUUGCUAUUCCAACACCAAGACUACCCAAUUCAGAGCUCUACCAAUAAGACAAAUGGUUGUGAUGGUAUUGUAUCCCCACUGUAUUGGAAGAUUUGUAUGUUAUUUCAAGUUCAAUCAUAAUAAGCAUAUUAAUAAAUGUCUUCAGGUUGUUAUUUUUUCGCUGGCCCAAUCGAUCAUCAUACUCGUGUUUUCGAGCUAUUUAUUUAUUUUUGAAUUGCAAUCUGAAAUAUAUGUACUUUAAAUUUCUUACAAGAUUUUAAAUUUAUAUACAUCUACAACCCAAAAUCUCCCAAAAAAUCUAAAAUUCAAAAAUUUACAAAGCAUAGACCAAAAUUUUUAUACCAACUAAUUUUUUGAUCAAUUCUACACUUUCUAAAAGGAGAGACGUUUACUCCAAUAUUUGGACUACAAUUAUAUCUAAGCUUAGGUGCCAAAUAAUAAAUUUAUAAGUAAAUUGGAUUUUGAACAUGGAGAGAGUUCUAAAACAACUUGCUUAAAGCAAAUGAACUGUCCAAUUAAUUCAAUUUUUCAAAAACAAAUCUUUAAACAUUCAACGGACAUUUUCACAAGCUUCUGGAAGGCACAAUCUAAAACCCAACAAAGAAUUCAAAAAAUCUUUGAACUUCUCACAAGCUUCUUGGAGAGAUGCGACGGCGCUGCUUUGGUAACUCAGAAGGCUCAGAGAUCUUUGAGGAAAUCAUGGUUCGCUUUCUUUUUUAUCUUUCCUCCUAAUCCUUGCAAAUUGUGUGAAGGCCAAUAAAUCCAUGAAUCUAAAUCUCUGUAAAUUUCUUUUUUCCCAAAUUUAGAUAAUUAUUUACUCCAUGCACAAUAUAUAUCACUGUAUCAGCUGUUCUUUUUUUUUUUUUUUGGAUGGGGCGGCAGUUUAGAAGAGCUGGAGGGUGUUCUUGACAGAGCUCAAAUUUUUUGUGUGCUCGUUGGGUGGAUAUAUCAAUCAAAGAUAUCCCAUACAGUGACAUCUGUCGUGAUCAAAUUAUUAGUUGAUCAAUGAUUUCGACAUCUGUUUACUGUAAUAAAAUUUGUCACUAUACAUUGAUGAAAGUGUUUGAUGUGAUUUUCUAACUGCUACCGACGGGAAACAGUUAAUAGGUUGAUUGAAUUUGUGGGAUAUAGAUUCCACAUAUCGCAUGACAGGAUCCUGACCACUCGAAUCUUAUCUACAUUUACACGAUUAAUACACCAGCUUAGCUGUGACAGUGCCAUUACAAAUUAUCCUCUCAUCAUUUGUCUUGUUAAAAUUCAUUCUGAAACACUGAGACUAAAUAUACGAAAAUGGCUUUGUGGGUCGAUGAUGCGAGCCGGAAAGAGACUGUAAUUAUCACUUGUUUAGUUGCUGUACUCGCCGUGGUCUAUUUCGCAUGGAAUGUGAACAAAUCAAGUAAAGCAAAUGCUAAACUGCCGCCGGGACCUCGUGGUUUGCCUGUAGUCGGAUACCUCGCAUUUCUCGGAACUACUGACUUGCACAAGACAUUCACCGAUUUAUCUGGAGUCUAUGGUCCGAUCUUCAAGCUCUGCUUUGGAAACAAACUGUGUGUAGUGGUGAGCUCGCCUUCCCUAGUUAAACAAGUGGUCCAUGAUCAAGAUCUAACAUUCUCUAACCGCAGCCCAUCGAUCGCUGGACUUGUUACCACCUAUGGUGGCAAUGAUAUUGCACUUUCCAAUUAUGGUCCAGAAUGGAGAAAGUUGCGCAAAUUAUUUGUGAGCAAGUUGAUGAGUAACUCAAGCCUUGACGCUUGUUAUGCUCUAAGAAAACAAGAGGUUAAAAAUACUAUCAGGGAUUUGUAUAACAGCGACAGGGACAAUAUUGGCAAUGGCAGUGGCAAGCCCAUUGACAUUGGUGAAUUGUCGAAUUCAACUUUGGUAUGUGUUAUGAAGAACAUGCUGUGGGGUGAAGCGCUUGAAUUAAGAGAGAAAGGGAUUACUAAUCUUGGAGCUGAGCUAAAAUUUAAGUUUGCAGAAUUCAUGGUGCUACUUGGAACACCGAAUAUUUCGGAUAUCUUUCCAGUGCUUUCAUGGCUUGAUAUACAAGGUAUAGAAAGAAGAGCAAAGAAGAUUUCUCUCUGGCUUGAAGAUGUCAUAAAUUCUACUGUUGAACAGUAUAGAAACAAGGACUUUGUUAUUGAAGGUGAAGAAAGAGCAGGGAACAAUAUUGAAGGAUCAAGGAACAAGGACUUCUUGCAGUUAUUAUUGGAGCUUCAAGACAAUGAAGACAGUGCUAACUCAAUUAGCAUGAACCAAUUUAAGGCCUUGCUCGUGGUAUGAUAAACAACUAGCCACAAACAGUUAUACAAGCAAAGCUGUAUAUUUGCAUGAGUGAUGUUUUGCCUCCAGAAUUCUCAAUUUUUAUCUUAUACAAUGAAAUGUUUUUCAGUUCUUUUUUUUUAAUUGGAAUUUAAUUGUAAUCUUUUGAACAGGAUAUAAUUACGGGUGGAACCGACACCACAACUACGAUGGUGGAAUGGACUAUGGCAGAGUUGAUGCAGCAUCCACUAGUAACGAAAAAAGUUCAUGAAGAAUUAGCUCAAGUUGUGGGUAUGGACAGUUGUGUUGAAGAAUUUCACUUGCCUAAAUUAAAGUAUUUAGAUGCUGUGGUAAAAGAAACAUUUCGUCUGCAUCCUGCACAGCCGUUAUUAGUACCACAUAGGGCAAGCGAGAGUAGCAGCAUAGGUGGCUAUACCAUUCCCAAAGAUACAACUCUUAUGUUGAAUGUUUGGGCUAUCCACAGGGACCCUCGACUGUGGGAUAAUCCCUUAGAAUUUCGACCUGAGAGGUUCUUGAACGAUGGUAUUGCGAGCAAAUUUGAUUACUCGGGUAAAAAUUUUCAGUACUUGCCAUUUGGUUCUGGCAGAAG
rnacentral:lncRNA from 1 species